rnacentral:lncRNA from 1 species
UACCUAACCACUAGCCUCACUACAACAGAAUUAAGUUAUAGGGACACAUGUUUGUGAUACUUUUGAAUAAGUGUCCCAUUUAUACUAAAAUUUAAAAAAACAUCUACUAAUGCCUAAAUAUAAAGCCCAAUCCAACUAAAAAUAAAAGAUUACCCUACUCAACCCACCACACCCAGUCCAUUUGGCCCGAUUACAAACAGAAAAGAAAAAUAAAAGAAAAAUUAAUUACCAUCUUUUCUUCUCUCUUCACUCAAUCCACUGAAAUUUUAGACGAAGAGCCUUUCCUGUCGUCCUCCUCCGCCACCGCAGCCAACGAGAUAGAGUUUCCGCGGUUGCUAAAUGCUUAAAUAAGUGUUGGUAAAUUAGCAGUACUCUUUUAGGUUAUAGCGACACUCUUUAACUGUCACUAUAUAUCUAGCGACCCCACAUAUAGCAACACUUUUUAAAAGUGUCAGUAAUUUUAGCUAGCAGCAUUUUUUUGACAUGUACCUAUAUUUAAAAGUGUCGCUAUAGACUGUUUUUGUUGUAGUGACCGGUACUCAAUGAUAUCGAACUACUCUCAAAUCUUUUGUUUCUAACUUUUUAAGAUUUCUUUUUUUACACUUUUUUUUUGGGUCCUUGAAAUUUGUGUCUAAUGCCACUCUAUUUCAUAAAGCACCUUUGAACCUUGUAAAUGUAGAUAUAUAUAAUAUUUAUUAUCUAUGGUGAAGUACUCCUUCUACAUCUAGCAACCCACAUGAGUAUUUGAUAUGACCUAGGGAGUACACAUGUAUAAUCCAAAUCCUACCUAACAAAUUCACUUGUGUCACAUUAGAGACAUUAAUUCCAUUGAUAAACAAUUUUAAUUGUGUUAGAUAGAAAGUGUUUUACGCGAUGCUGAUGAUCCCUCUAUAUUUACUGAUGUGCUGAUAAUUAUAAUAUACGUCAAUCUACACAUGAUACCUAAUUAAACAAGAUUUAAAUAUAUCCUAUUACUUUAAAUUACUAUAACAUAGGGUUUUAAAAAUGUUGAUCUGAUUAAUCCAACCCCUAACCCUAAUUAUUACCAUCCUACUUACUAAAGUCCUAAUGGCUGCAACAACAGAGUAGAGCACUGUAUGCACUCUUGGGUGCAAGACAUAAAGAGUUAAUUGGCUUUUGGGUAAUUGGUGGCUGUGGAAACACCACAUCCUUUAUAAAUUACUAUUCAGACAUCAAGUCAUUUUUUUCACUGUAUAUUAAAAUAAAUCACCUCGUAAAUGAAAUAUACUAUAUAUCCUAUCAAAUUAUAGAUAAGGAAGCAAGAAUCAAACCCUUUACUUGCAAUUAUACUAGAAAAUUUUCAUACAGAAUAAGUUAUUCGUGAAUAACUUAUUCCGACAUCCAACCAGGGUUUAGAGAGAUAGAUAUCGAAAGGGGAGAUAGAAUAUUAGUGGAAAGAUAAUUUUAAUUUAGGCGGUCGACCGAUGACGACGAUGGACUAGAGCUAGCUAGGCAAUGAAUCUAUAUAGCAAACUAACACUAUAAAGAAAUCUCAUUAUAAGGACUUUUUCCGGUCGACGCUAGAGGAAAGCAUUUUUAAGUUUCUCUAUAUAUAACAAAUACCGACGCUUUAAAAAAUAUCGUCAUAUGAACCGUUUACGGUAUCAAACCAAUUCAUUAUAUUUAAUAUUCCGACGCUUUAAAGCGUUAGAAUUUUAACACAGUUUAAAAUAACAGAAUAUAUAUAUUUUCACUGACGCAUAAUAAAAGUAUCGACAUAUAUAUAUAUAUAUGAUGACUCUUUAUUUACCUAAAUUUUUAAAUAUAUCGCGCUACUUUAGAAUACUAUAUAUUAAGUAUCAUUAUAUAUAUAUAUAUUGUAGUGUAAGUGGUAUGCCUAAUAUUUCAAUGCUACAAAAGGAAAGGACCCCAUGAACUAGACCAUUAAUUCUCCAGCUUUGUUUUGGGCCUACCCUUUCCAUAUUUGUGUCUUUUUUAGUACAGCUAAUUAAUGUCCCCCAUGGGUUUUAUUUAUUAAGUAAAAGCUUAUUAUUACUCGAACCUGGAUUACUCUCUCUCUCUUAUUUAUAAAAUUUUUGCUAGGUUAAUUUAUGGUCUCUGAACACGGUUAUCAUAAUAUUUAUACUUCGUAUUCCAAAUGCGCAAUUUUUGUUUGUUUUUGUUUUAGUAAACCGCAUAUCAAAUUGCGUUUACCAUUAAUAUAUAAUAAUGAUCAUAUAGAUUUACUUCUACGUAAUAUUGUUAUUGUUAUUAUUAUAAUAUAUUAGUAUAGCAUGAAUUAUAUAAUUAUUUAUUAUUUAUUUAUUUAUAUUAAUUAUUUUUUGAUAAUACAAAAAUAGUGCCACGUGGCGGAUGCAGAUAUGGCAACUUGCAAGUGGUUGCAUGGAGCUGUGGAGGUCGCAUGUGCACGGUGAUGUGGCCACGUGCGUCCUUUCGCUCUCAUCAUCUCACCGUGGAAACCUUGCCACGUCAGAUUAAAUUGGCGCUUCUGUUUUAGGGGGGUUUAAUUCGUUCGGUUUGAUUCUGUUUCGGAAUAAAUUUAGAGUUUAUUUGGUUCGAAGUUAGAAUCAGUAUCGAAAUUAGAAUCAGAAAAAAAAAUAAGUUAGAAAUAAAAUCAAAAUGAUUUAUUAUUUCAUUCUGUUUGAUCCGUCGUCAGAGUCAGAAUAAACCAUUCUUAUUGUCGGCAUUUGGCUCAGACAGAUAUAAAAAGCGUAAUCAAAUUAAUGUGUCAAUUUUAUAUUUAUAAUAUAUUAGUUUAAAUUCAAAUUGAAAAUUUAAUAUUAAAACUUUACGUCAAAAUUUUAAAAUGAUGUCAAAAUUUUAAAUAUGUUUUUUUAAAAAAAUUAAAACUUGAAAUUAAACGAAUAAUUCAAAAUGUAAAACUAAAAUUUGAUUUAUUCAAAUUCAAACUUAAAAUUAUAAUUUAAAUUUCGAUUUGAAUCCAUAAAUUUAAUUUAAAUUUUAAAUAAAAUUUGAAUAAAACUUUAGGUUUUUAAAUUAAAUUUAAAUUUAAAUUCAAAUUUAUAAAAUAGAUUUGAAAUGCUUGAUUGAAUUUUAAUUUUUAAUUUAAGUUCAAAUUAAAAUUUAAAUUUAUAAAUAUACUUUUUAAACUUAAAUUUAUAUUUUAAUUACAAAAUAAGAUAAAAAAGUUAAAUUUAAUCCAAACAAAUUCAUUCCGUCCGGAUUCAAUUUUAGAUUCGCGCGGUCUCUUAGGCCGGACUGAAAAAAAGGAUAAUUGGGAAAUUCCCAUUCACCCGGGAAUCGAAAUCGGAAUGAAAAUUCUGCAUAUCAAAUACGGACAAACGGAUUCGUUCAUUCCGACUCUGAUUCCAUGGUGAAAAAGGGUUGAACCAAACACGCCCUUAUAAAAUUGAACCAUUAGAAAAUCACACACAAAAAAAUUUAAUUACAAUUAUUAAAUUUUAGUUAAUAUAUCAAUAUAUGAUCAUACGAUUUGAUCAUAAUAAAUAGUGAAAACAAAGUGUAAAGAAAAUUAUUAUUCGAUUAAUUUUUAGUUCGGUUCUAUUAAGAAAUACAUUCAUAUCAAACCGAAAUCGCAUAUCGAAUUUUAAUAAAAAUUUAAAAAUCGAACCAAACCGAAAACUAUAUAAAUUGAAACAAAUAGUCUUAUUUGAUUUGGUUUGGUUUGGGACCAGACCGUGUACACACCUACAUAUGUUGGAUUUUUCUUUUUUAUUUUUCAAAUAAGCCAUAGAUUUCACUUUUGAGAUUCUUUUGCAUAAAAGUUUAUUGAUUUUAUAAUUUUUAUAAAUCUAAUCUCUUUUUUUAGAUUUCAUAAAUUUGGCCUGUUUCUAUAUAAUUUUGAUUAAAUUGUUCUUCUUUCAAAAUACAUAUAUAUAUUAAAUUUUUUAGAAAGUGUAACAGAUAAGUUAUAAUUACUUGUGUCUUUUUCUCAAAAUAUGAAAAUUCUUAUAUCUAAUAAAAAAUAAAAAGUUAGAAAUAAUAAGCAAAAAAAAAAGGGAGCAAUACUUUUUUAAAUGGUGAAAUACAAGUAUAAAUGGUGUAAUUUUUGCAACACAAAAAAAAAUACAAUAUUUGUAUAAAUUGUGUAAUAUAAAUAUAAAUUGUGCAAUUGAAGACACUCUAAAGGAUAAUAUAAUUGAUAUUAAAACUCGUAUUAGAGUUAUAAUAAUCAUAAUCAAUUAAUGAUGCUAAUUAAUUAAUUAUGUUAAAAGCUUGUACAUUGAUAGAAAAGGGGGGACCAAUUAAUUUUCCUAAGGUGCAAUUUGCGUUUACAAAGUAUACUCUAAAUUUCUCUUUUAAUCAUCUCCGCAAGAAUAGAAUACUGAUCUACUUGCCGAUAAUUAAUAUUAUCUCUCAAAACAAAAUAAAAUAUUAAAAAAAAUAAUAAAAAGAAAAUGGAGUGUGAGUGAAUAUGAAAUUAAAAAUCAGAAAUUAAUGCAUGUACUCCACAAUGCAAUCAUUCGCAUUCAAUCCAUUUAUUUUUUAAAGAUUUUUUUUUUUCCAAAAAGAUAAUUUUUUGGGACCUUGUAGAAAAGCCAAUAAAAGUGGGAUGUAGACAACUAAAAAGUACUUCUUUUGGAAGCUCUCUCAUUGGUCACCAAAAGUGGCCCCACCACCUCAAUUAAUUGUCUAGAAAAGUCUUAUUUAAUGUAACACAAGUAUUCCAACAUAAGAAAAAAGUUAAAUUAUAAAUAAUAUAAUAAAUUUUAUUUGUAAAAUUGGUUGCAUACUAUUAUUCCUACACAGAGAUUAUAAUGAUGGAUAAGAAUUUCUCUCAUUUGUAAUGGCUUUUUCCACUCUCAUGAUCCAUGAGAUGAGAGGGGACCAUUUUCACAAAUUUCUAUGUUGGUGAUAAUACUAGUUAUUUUUGCACAUUACAUCUUUUUCUAUAUCUCUUCAUUUAUGUUCUAUUUCAGGCUAAUAUUCGUGCGUUUCAGAAUUUGUCUAGUUGUGCUGAAGCUUUUGCAAAAAUACCACGUAUCACUGUUUGGACAAGAGAAAUGUUAGCUUCUGGUCGGACAUUUAGUGCGGAGAAUUUUCCGUAGGGACAACAUUUCCACUCAUCUUCAAUGAAGCAGUGCACGAGGACGGUUUCGUGGGGAGGGAAUGGAAACGAGAGACGAUUCCGCUAGCUAGGCAUUGUACCUUCUACACAACUUACAAAGGGAAAUGCUUUAAGACUCAGAAAGAAAGCUAUGAGGUUAAUUGAAGAUGGUCCCCCUUCUCAAUACUUCUCGAUCAAAUCACUCUAUACAUACCUUCAUGAUGGUGCUGUUAGAAGUUUGAGCAAGUCGCAACACUGGAAGACCUACACCCCGCUUAAAGUCAGAAUUUUCGUCUGGAUUGUUCUGAAGAAAAGAUAUUUACGGUAGAUAAUUGUACGAAAGAGGGGCUGGCGGAAAGAGAAGGGCUAAGUACUCUGUUUUGAUGAUGUCGAGACAGUCGACCGCUUAUUCGCCAAAUGUCGGAUUACGAAACUCUUGCUAGAAUGCUUGAUGGCUGACAAGGGGGGGUCAUUCAUCAGUACUCCUCACAGGCGACCUUUGGGAGGUUAGUCGACUAAAGAUCGACGGGCACCACAAGACGACAGACGUUAGAAAAUUGUUACUAUCUGGUGAGUUAUUUCGCUCGAGAGAAAAAACAAAUCUUUCAGAAAAAAAAAAAAAAAAUUGCUUUGAGACAACUAGUGUUGGAUGUUAGAUUUCUUAGGGGCCCAUGAAAAGAGUUCCGAGUGAAGUAAAAUUGUUCUCCUUUCUUUUUUAUUCCUCUUCAUUUUCGGUUUCUCUUUUUUAUUUGAAAGUUUGUUAUCUCAGUCCCGUAGCCCAGUACAUCCACUAAUGAAUAAAACAAUAACAUCGAUGUGACUAAUGAAGAAGUUUCCACUCUAAAAUGGAUAGGUGUAUGAAUAGCAUUGCUCUUUAAAGAUGUGACUACGUACUGAAAUUCGUCCAUCUUAAAAUAAGUAGAGUGUACAUCAUAUACCCUCGUUGGGGUGUAUAAGUUGCAUUGCUCUUUCUUUAAACUAUUCAGGCAAGAAAAAUCGAGGAUCGAAACUUCUGGUUUCGAUGCUUUCGAUUGUUCAAAUUUGAAUCGGUUUAAUGGCUUGGUGGAAUCGAUUGAUAAACUUAAGCUCCAUGAUGGAUGCUUCUUUUAAUUAGUCCACAUACCAUUGAUCACUUACACAUUACAUGCAUGCCCCCUCAAUAAGUCGAAGAGGACCCUUAAUAUAUGUAUUUAUAUAUAUAUAUAUAUAUAUAUAUAUAUAUAUAUAUAUAUAUAUAUCAUUCACGUAAAAAUUUGGUGAUGAACAAAAAAGCGCCAAGCAAUAUAGUAGUUUGUGAUCAGGAAAACCUUGUUGUAGACCAAAGUUCAAAAUGGAAGCGACCACAAAUUGUCCCACUCAAAAUCUAUAUCUGUAUUAGUGAAAAGUAAAACAAGGCAUUUUCCUUUUGGCGGUUGUUGGGGGUCAUUUUAACUCAUUUACUUGCGGCAUUACAUCUAAUGCUUUCAAUUCAACGGUCCACUCUCUAAGUGGGGAUCCGUGUGACAUGAAAUUAUCUAAUGCAACUUAGCAGGCUAAUGGACAAAUAUAUAGAGACUGAUUGGAUGUUUUUCAAGCACAAUAUUAUUGAGACAGAUGCAUACAGCGGAUCUAAGAGCGGGAGGGGUUCCCUACUACACCACCUCCCGCCUUAUUUUCUUAAAAGUUGAAAUAGAUUCGGAACAGAUCAAUUUUUAUUUUAUUUUCUGCUCUUAUUUGUCACUUUAUUCACCAUAAUUUUCGGAUUCGUGAGCCAUUUGAUACACACUGCGCCUUGAUCUUAAAGUUUCAUUUGAGUCGAAAAAUCAUCAGUGUCACAAUGGGCGGGGGGGGGUGCGAAUUUAAAAAUACAGUAAAGGUCCCCUUUAUGUGAAGUUUUCCCCUCUUUUUUUUUUUUUUUUUUUUUUUUUUUUUUUUUUUUUUUUUUUUUUUUAAGAAAGAUGCGCAAAACUAGGAGGCCACGGCACACGGGAAGAUCGAGGACUUAAUUUUAAUUAUAGUAACAAAGAGGGCCUACCGCUAAUAAUGCGACCAGUGCACGGUUUCUCCCUGCUUUUCUCAACGCGGCGCGGACCCCACCUCUCAUCUCGCGCUUCCUCAAGAACAUUUGAUCCCUACAACUAGGGUCGGACGACGAAACUUUGAUCUGCUGCGACAAAACUAUGCGGAAUCCAAAUAUCGCGGUUUCGGAAACUCUAUUAAGGUUUCUAUACUUCCUUUUUUUUAUUUUUUGGAUCUUUACGUACACGGAUCGCAUCGAAUGAUUUUAUAGCGUUAUACGUUAAGACCUAUGAUUGAAUUUAGAAUCAAUAAUAAUAUCUCCUGCACAGCAGGUUGUAUGCGUCAACGAUGAGACCAUCACGUCCGUCCAUCUUUCUCUUCCGAAUCUUAGGAGCCUAUUGAUUUAGUUUUAAAUCAAACUUACGAGCCAGAGUAGAAGAAAUGCAAUAUUGAUGUAACUAUUAGUUAAAAGAUUUGACCCCUCCACACAUUAAAAAUGCACGGUCCAGAUUCGAACGCACAAUCUGAUAAGAUUUUGAGGAGAUUUAGAAUUAACUUUGGAUAUCAUAUUAUUCUUGGUAUAAAUAAAUAGCUGCCUAAAUUAUCUUUGUUGAUUUUGUAGUUGGCAUGGUGCAUGCAGGGCUCUGCGAUGCGUGCUAGUCACAAAAAAUGUGUGUGCCAAUACAUAAUAAUAUGAAAUAUUUAUUUUUUUCAGCAAUAAAAUAUUAUAAUUAUUUAUUAUAUAUUUUUAUCAAAAUUUUUUAAUUUAUUUAGAAAACUAAUUACUAAUUUAAAAAAAGUUGUGCCAUCAAUGCAUAUAAUUUUCGUGCCGAUAUCUUAUUGACGUCAUAUUAUUCUGUAGAUACAACUCACACUGAUAGACACUUAAAUUCUUAAUAAUAAAAUAUUAUUAAUUAAUCCAAUGUAAGGACACAUCAGACUUGGCCGCAAAAUAAAUGAGCAGCAACAAAAACGCGCCAGCCUGGGAAUGUCGCCUCUACCUGCUGCAGGUAGAGUGAAGUCCGUGUCGCGAUCUUCCGUCCCCUACUCCUCUCUUAUCGGAAACAACUGUAGCUUAUAACAAUUAUAUAUUAAAUAAUCCAUCUUAUCUAAUACAGUUCGCUAAAAAUUUAAUGAUCGAGGUUCAAAAUUACAAAUUUGAAGUCGAUUUUCCAUGAAUUCAUUUCUUAAAAACGAACGAAGCGGUUAUUUAAGAGAUCAUUUAGUUGGAUGAAAUAUUUUUUUUUUUAAGGGACGAGAGGGAUAAAUAUAUCAGUUGUAAUCGAACCUCAUCAUAUAAUUAGAUAAGCAAUAAAAUUGCGACUGUAUACAACCAAAUAGCCCUAAAAUGUUAAUGAAAUUGAGUGAUGGGCUGUUGCUUCUUAUUAAAAAUGAAAAAAAAAAAAAAAGUAGUUGACACAGCAUUAAAAAUUGACAUUUAUUAUGUAAAAUACCCGGACUUUAAAUUCUUUACAUGACCAUUAUUAUUGUUCUAAAUAAUGCUAGAGACUACACAGCAUGCAAAUGAUACAUCCAUAUAUGCACCACAAUGCCAUGCUCUCUCUCCUUUACUUUUAAAUCAAUAUUAAAAUUUCAUGCAAGAAAAAUUAAUUAUAAUAAAAAAAAAUUGAUAUAUACAUAUAUCUUGUUAUGGCGCAUGAAAUACAAAUAGGCAAAUUACCAAAAUACCAUUACGCUGGGGCUAAAAAAGCAGCAUUCAAUUACACAGGUUGCGUCAAAGAUACAACCGAACGAAAGGGGGCAAAAAAGGAAAAAUAAAAGAGGCAACAAAAUAUACAACAAAAUUACGCAAAAUAUAAAGGCGGAAAAUUAAAAAACAAAAUUAGAAAAAAAAGGAGAGGAAGAGAGAGACAGAGAGAGAGAGAGGGGGAGAGGGAGAUGGACCUUNGAGGGAGAUGGACCUUGGGCCGGGGCGGGGCGAGGGGGUUCAGGCCGGUUCUGACGAACCGGUCCGGUCGGGUUCGGACGAGCCGGGCCGGUCCGGUCCGAGGGCGGAUAAGACCCGGGCGAGCGCGCUCAUGGCGCGGACCUGCAUCUCGAGCGCGGCGAUGUAGUCGGAGGCCUCCUCGAUGAGCUUCGGGAACGAGAGCCUCCUCCCGCCGGGGACGAGCCGCCCCAGAACCCUCUCCUUCCCCCCAGUCCCCCUCCUCAUCCUCCUCCUCCGCCGCAGCGCCGCCGCGCCGGAGGCGGCGGCGACGCCGCCGAUCUCCGGCCGCCGAGCCGAGGCCGCGAGCCGCCGAGGCGCCGCACGCGCCUUCGCGAGGAUCGCGCGGCUCCACCGCGUCCGCCCCCGCGCCGCCACCGCCAGGGCCCGAUCCGCCGCCUCCCGCACCAGCCGGCUCCGCGGCGGCGGCGCCGCCGCCGCCGCCGUGUUGCGGCGCACGCGGCGGAGCGCUUCGAGAAGCUUCGAGGAGUAGAGCUUCUGCGCCCGCUCCGACCUCCACGCCGACGGCGACGGUGCGCUCUCCCCCUCCCCCUCCCCCUCUCCCUCCCUCCCCCGCUUUCUCGAAGCUUCUACACCGCUCUCCGGAUUCGAAAUCGCCAUUUCACAGCGACGAAUCUCCCGGUCGGAAUGAUCCGAUUCCGAUCGGGAUUCCACGGAUCUCGGAUCGAUUAUCCCAAACUAUCGAAAACCUGCGAUUAAAAGCGCAACAAAUCGUUAGAUCCACUGCGGAAACCAAAUCUUCGGAAACGAAAUCAAAUAAAGAAACGAAUCCUAUCAUUUAGAACAAGAAUCGAUGAGAAAAAAAUUUUUAAAAAAAAGAGAGAAGGAACAAAUCAUUACGUUAUCACCUCCGAAGAUCGAAGUGUCGAAGUAGAGAGAGAGAGAGAGAGAGAGAGAGAGAGAGAGCGAGGGUACGAGAGAGGGAAUGGGAAGAGUAAAGGGGUGAGGGAGGAGAUUCUUAUAUAAAGGGGGGUGGUAAUAUCAUUACGACACGCGUCACGCUAGCUUUUAAUUUCUGUGUACGGUCAAGUCAAAUCCUCCCCUCUGUAACGUCAAAUUCAUUUAACUUAGUAGUUCAUUAAAAAAAAUUAAGUAUAAUGUACAUUUUUUAUCCUUAUGCCAUUUGAUUACUUGGUCCUUAAACUUUGAACGAUAAUAUAAUAUUUUAAUUAUUAUUUUAUUAUAUUAUCAUAAAAAAGUAAUAUAAUAUUUUAAUUAUUGCUAUUUAUAUUAGCGUUUAUUUAUAUUUAGUCAAUUAAAUUGAAUUGUGACACUAAAUUAAAAUAAUUUAAAAUUUUUGACUUAAAAAUUAUUAUAAAUUAAAAUUUGAAGAUUAAAAUGUGCAACCAAAAAUAUAAUAUGCCUUAAAAAUAAAAAAUCGUGCUUAAAAAUCAGAAAACUAGUGAAUAGAAAAUAUUGAAUGUAUAAUAACUUAAUGUACAUUAAUAAAUGGUGCAAAAAAUUGAUCAUUUUGUCAGUACAAUGCGCGAUUCAUUUUGUAAAGUUGCGAUCAAUUGCAUUUGACAAAUCAGAUUUUUAUAGCAUAGUUCGCGCUCAAGUUGGGAUCAUGUUUUAAGUUGGGUUUCUAAAAUUUGCUUUUAGAUUUGGAUUUAUGAUCUAGAUUGUUUUUUUAAUGCCUAUGGGAUAAAAUAGAUAUAGUUAUAAUUAUAUUUUUAGUGCAUUACAUUUUUAACUGUACUAUAUUAUAAUUACAUCCGACUAAACAAGCUCUAGUGCAUACAAAAUAGGAAUUGAAACUCAAAUUCUGUCACGGUUGGUGGAAUAUCUUUUCAAACGCUAGAGAAACAACCUCAAAGCAUUUUAAGUAAUCAAAAAAAAAUUAUCACCAAUAUCAAUACUUAAAUGUGUUUUUUUUUUAGAAAAAAAUAGUAUAUUAUUCAUUUUGUUCAAUUUUUAGAAAUGAAUUUAGCUUAACAUAUAAAACAGCUGAGCUACGAACUUGAAAACUUAUAUACUAAUUAUCAAGUCCAUAAUCAAUUGGGCUAGAUACGGUCAGUUAAUAUAUCAUUAUGGAACCCUUAUAACUAUCAUUCUAACUGCAUAUCUCUUCAUUCAAGAGUCGAAAAUUUAAUACCACAAAUGAUUUAGUACUGUUAAUAGUAUAUAUAUAUAUAUAUAUAUAUAUAUAUAUAUAUAGAGAGAGAGAGAGAGAGAGAGAGAGAGAGAGAGAGAGCUAGGCUCCUAUGUUUUUGAAAGUACGGAAGCCUCCGUGCUUGCAAGUUCUUUUCGAUAAUGGGACAUCUGAUUCAAUGAUAGGUUCUGUUAAACAUGAUCUAUGCUAUUAGAACUAUCUAGAAACCAAAUUUCAUAAUUUUUUGACUUCGUUUGCCUAAUGAACGAGUAGUCUCAAAAUAAACGGAUGAAAAUAAAAAUUUUAUAAAAAACAAUAAUAAAAGACUCAAUUUUCAAAUCGGAAGUAUUAUUUUUGCUCUUGAUGUUAAGUAUAAUUUUUUAUUAAAGUUUCAUGUAAUUUGGAUACUUAUACACCGUUGAACUUAAAAAUGUGCCACAUCGGCCGUUAAAAUAGUCAUUUUUGAGACCCUUUGAUCGCUUGGUAAAUGAUGUCGAAAAAUUAUAAAAUUUGGUUUCUAAAUAGUUCUAAUAGCGUAGAUUAUGCCUAACGAAGCCGAUCGUCGAAUCGGAUGUCCUAUCAUCGAAAGCAACUUACAAGUACGGAAGCCUCCGUACUUUCGAAAGCACAGGAGACUACUAUAUAUAUAUAUAUAUAUAUAUAUAUAUUCGAAAGUAUAAAGAAAUUGGUACUUUUGAAUUUUUUACCCUUGAUAAAUAUUGUACAAUUAGGAUGAUAGUGAUACUCUCUAAAAUUGAGCCGUCUCUAUAGGGUAAUAAUAUUAAUCCAAAGAUUAAGGGGUUGAUCCAAAUACUAAAAAGUCAGAAGCAUUAAGUCUUUAUGCUUCCAAAAGUAUAGUAACUCUACUCAUAUAUAUAUAUAUAUAUAUAUAUAUAUAUAGAGAGAGAGAGAGAGAGAGAGAGAGAGAGAGAGAGAGUGUCCGGCUACUAUACUAUUGAUAGUACCAAGCUUUGGUACUAUAGAGUUUUCUAACGUUAGUUCUACUCUGUGAUCAUUUCCACCCGCUAGAUUAUACUAUUAAACCAAACCACCCACUCAACCCUAGGGGACCACUAUCAUCCUAACCGCACAUCCUUUCAUCCAACGGCCAAAAACUCAAUAGUACUAAGGGCUUGAUACUAUUGAUAGUAUAGGAGCAUAAUUCUAUAUAUAUAUAUAUAUAUAUAUCAAUUUUGCUCCAUGUCAUUGUUUUAGAUAUCGUUUGGUUCGGAGAUAAACAAAAAGUGGUUAUUCCAGAAAUAAAUAUAAAUUGAGGUAUAAACGGGGAUUAAAUCAAUUUUGCGUUUGGAUGAAAAUUGGGUUAUUCCUAGGAAUAAAAAAAAUAGCGUUUGGUUAGGUAAGAUUAGUUAUUUCAAGGAUAGUGUUAAGUUCAGAAUUAAGGUAGGGUUAGAGUGAUUUUUUGUUUGGUUGAAAAUUGGGUUCUAAAGAUAGGGUUAAGUUCAGGAUUAAGAUGGGGUUAGAGUAAUUUUUUGUUUGGUUGAGAAUUGGGUUUAGUCCAGAUAUAAGUAAAAUAGUGUUUGGUUGAAGUANAAAUAUAAAAUAUAAAAUUUUAAAUUUUAAAUUUUAAAAAUAAGAAUAGGGGUGGGAACAAUUAAUAAAAAUAAUUUACUAUAAUAAAUUUAUAAUUUGAUAAUAAUAAUUUUUUUAAUAAAUUUAUAAUUUUUUUAUUAUUAAUAAAUUAAUAAUUUUUAUAAUUCUACUUAAACUUAAAUUUAAUAAAAAUAAUAUUUUAUAAUAUUUAAAUAUAAUUUAUUAUAAUAUUUAAUAUUUAAAUAUAAAUAAUAUGUAUUAAUAUAGUGCAAUUAAUAAUUUUAUAAUAAAAAUAAUAUAUUAUAAUAUAUAACAUAUUAUAUUUAUAUAAUUUAGUUUUAAUUUAAUUUAUAAUUUUAAUAAAGUUUGAAAUUAAACAUUGGAAUAGCACUAUUCCAUCAAAAUGGUGGAAUAGUAAAUUCCUUGCUAUUCCGAGACAGCCGGGAAUAGCAAAGUUUGACCAGAAUAAAAUAUCCCGGCCAAAAAUUAUUUCAUUUGGCGCAAUAGCGGGGAUAACUUUCGUUUUCCCCGCCUAUGCCGCCAACCAAUCAGGGCUUUAACACAUUAGAUAGGAUGAGAAUAUUAUAAUUUAGGAGUUUUUUAUUUAUGUGCUCUUUAUUACUGUCAAAAAUUUUUAAACAUAUCCCUCAAUUCCUAAAAUAUUUUCAUAAAAUUCAAUCCCAUUAGUAAACUCUAGCUAGAAUAAACAGGUAUAUAUGAAUAAUUAUUUUGAAGUCAAUAAAAAUAUUUUAAUCAUUCAAAAAGUAGAUAUUUUGAAGAUUUUCAAAGACAUGCUAAUAUUGUACCUAUAAUUUAGGUACUUAAGAACACAAACAAGCAAAUAUCAGUUGUCACUACAACUGUUCCUUUUAUUCUUCUCCAAUAUAAUUGGGAAGGCAAUAUGAAUGUGUCUUAUCCAAUUCCAACACCCAUUUAUUCAAUCCCAACAAUCAUUCAUCCUUGAAUAUGUGGGAUUUUUCAAAGAGUGGGUAGAAAUUAAUUAAUUAACUCCUCAAUUUAUAUGUUGCCAGUAAAAAUGAAAUUGUUUGCCGGAUUGUUUUUGAAAGUGUAUGUUGGGAUUUGGUUAGAUUUGUAGUUGAAUUCUAAUUUGAUUAGGAUUAAUAUUUAAAUCUAUUAGAGAUAAAUUAAGAUUUAAAUAUUAAUUAGGGUAUAAAUCUAAUUAGAUUAAGAUAAAUAUUUAAAUCUAUUAGAGAUAAAUUAAUUAAGAUUUAAAUAUUUGUCGGAGUGUGAAUUCUAAUUAUAUUAGAAGUUGGGUACGUUUUCGUGGGCGCUGUAUAUAUAAUAGUAUUAAGGCUUGAAUUAAUUAAGCAAAAAGGCUGAGAAGGUACUGCUGCCCAUAGAGAAGGAGAGAGAGAGAGAGAGAGAGUAGCCAUGAGUUUAGCGCACCUAGUGCACAGGUGCACGUGAAAGAUUGUUUUCUUUGCGGAUUUAUAGAAGACGUGAGAAAAGUAAAAGAAAUUCAAGAAAGAGGGUUCAGAUUAGAGCUAUUCUAUGCAGAAAAAAAGUCAGGUGUAAUCUUUCCUUAUUUAAUGAAUUUUAUUUUAUUCGCAUAUUUUUUGUUUUGAUUUUUCUCUUUUGUGAUUGUAUCAGUUUUUGCGAAGGAGACGGGUUUAUAAUAAAAAUCCGAUUUGACGCUUUCGUUGUGAAAUCAUAAUAAUCGGUACCGGAUCCACAACCGUCACUAUCAGAGCAAAAUUCGGUACCGGGACGAGUACCCGAUUCCCAACAGUAUAAUCUCUGCAUGCUUUCAUUUAUUUAUUUAUUUAUAUUUUUCAUCUAGGUACAAAAAAAAGUAGAAGCACCGAGUUGGCUUUUGAUUUAUAAAGCAUUAUUUUAGCUUAAACACCUAUUAAUGUAAACCUAAGGGCGUGUUUGGUUCGAAGUCGGAGUCGGAGUCGGAAUCGGAGUCAGAAUCAAAAUAAGCUGGAAGCGGAAUCGGAAUGACUCAUUACCUAAUUCUGUUUGGUUCAUUACCUAAAUCGGAAUAGGAAUAAAUCAUUCACAUUAUCGGUGUUUAGUUGUGGAUAUAAAAAACGUAAUGAAAUUAAUAUACUAACAUUAUCUUUAUAAUAUAUAUUAAUUUAAAUUCAAAUUAAAAAUUAAAUAUUAAAAAUUUACAUCAAAAUUUUGAAAUAAUGUCGAAAUUUUAAAUCUAUUUUUUUUAAAAAAAAAUUAAACUUUGAAGUUGAGUGAAUAAUUCAAAAUAUGAAACUAAAUUUUGAUUUAUUCAAAUUCAAACUAAAAUUACAAUUUUAAUUUUAAUUUGAAUCCAUAAAUUUAAUUUAAGUUUGAAAUAAAAUUUUAAUAAAACUUUAUAUAAAUUAAAAUUUAAUUUAAAUUCAAAUUCAUAAGUUAGAUUCGAAAUACUUGAUUAAAUUUUAAUUUUUAAUUUAAGUUCAAAUUAAAAUUUAAAAUUCUAUAUUUAAUUUUUAAAUUUUAACUCAUAUUUUAAUUAAAAAAGCUGAAAAAAUAAAUUUAAUCCGAAUAAAUAUUCAUUCUGUCCGGAUUCAACUUCCAAUCCGGCCUAGAGAUGAUUGAGAGAUUUCCAUUUCACUCGGGAAUCGAAAUCGGAAUGGAACUCCCGCGUACCAAACACCAACAAACGGAUUAAUCUAUUCCGAUUCCAAUUCCAGGGUGAGAAAGAAGCGAACCAAACACAAGUGGUUCAAAAAUAAAAAACAAAAUUAAAAAAAAGAAGAAUUUUUCUUGGCAAAUAAAAAAGAAGGUUUUAUCUGCAACCAUUCAUAAAUGGUAUCAUGAUAUAAAUGAAUUUCAUAUGAGCAAUCUUAUCUAUCUAUCGUAUCAUUAUCAUCUGAAUUCUUAAUGGCCUAUUGGCCUAUACUAUAUAUAUAGAUAAUGACUAUUGAACUGAAUUUGUUCAAAGACAUUUUUCAUCAGGUAUAUAAUAAUUGACCAAAUAGACAAAUGUAGUCACACUCAUUGUACCAUGUCUCACUCGAAAAUAUUUUAAUUCCUCUUAUUCUUGUUUAUCAUUAUUGUGUCUCCUCCAUCUCCUCCUUGCUAUUGCAAGAAAAUAAACCAAAAAAACAUAUUUUCAGUUCAGGUAUCUUGUCAUUUAUGGCCCAGAUCCCCCACCACCAUUCAAUCUAGCUAAUAUCCUAGUCACGUUAUAAAAAUUUAUAAAAUAUUAUAAAUUUGAGUAUGAUUACUAUAUUUUUAUGGGUAUAAAUUCUUUUAUACUCAUAAAUUUUCGACUGUUAAAUAAAAAAAUAUGCGAUUAAGAUGAUAAAUAGUUCCCAGCUAUAAUAAUAGUGAUUUUCUAGAGUUGAGUGGAUGAUUGGUUGAAUAGUAUGAUCUAAUAUAUGAAAAUGAUUAAAGGAGUAUAUCUUACGGUUGAAAAUUUGUGAGUUUAUAAUGGUCUAACUUAUGAAAGUGCAGUAGUCGGACUCCAUAAAUAUAAUGAAGAUAAAUAACUUUUAAUAGAGAUUAAAAGUGUUGUUUGGAGAUGCGGAGAAAAAGGAAUUAUACGAAUCCUUUUACUUCGUAUCUAAAAUUUUACUAACAUGUUACACUUUUUGCUCCAUUCUCAAAUUUUACUAACAUGUUACACUUUUUGCUCCAUGCUUUUGUAACGUCCUAAUAGUCCCACAUCGGAUGGGAUACUGAUUUCGAUCAGUUUAUAUGAAGCCUACACGCUAAUAAUAAUAACUGGGCUUAAGCAUUUUGGGCCGGUGAUUUGGGUCAAACGAGUUAUUGUUGCUAGCGGAUCGGAUCGUUCCAUUUAGUAUCAGAUCCGAGUACCAGCCGGAAAUGUGAGAGCUAAGUGCUAUGCGGGACAAUGUGCUACACUAACGGGUUUGGUGGGAGCCACCUCUAGAAUCUCACAUCGUCUGGUAAUUCUGGUUCUGGUCUAUCUGUCUAUCUGUGAUCUGGUUUAGAUCUGACGAGGACAUCGGGAUCUAAACAGGGGGAGUUUGGGCCCAACGAGUUAUUAUUGCUAGCGGGUCAGGCCGUUACAGCUUUUACCAAGGGAAAGUUGAUAUUUCGGGAGCUUGUUUUGUUAUUGCAACAACAAAAUAGAUCAAAUUCCAAUAAGAUAUAGGAUCCUUUUGUUUCACGAUUCGUAAUAUUCUGAAAUUCUUUUAUAUUUUCUAUGCAAGAUUUUUAAAUUAUUAUCAUUCAACUUCAAAUUGGAUAGUCCUAAAAAAUGUUGGUAAAAGAGUAGAAUCAUUAUUAAACAUAUUAGAAUGCUCUAGAAUGUGCGGUAUUUUAUUUCUAUUCAAGAUUUCGCUAAUGGGUCGUAUUGUUAUAUUUGAUACUAGAGCCGGUUUACAGUCUAAAAAUGUGAAGUGAGCCUCACAAUAUCUAGUAAUCUUGAACUGUAUGUGUAAUUGGAGGAUUAACGAGAGCGUCAAAAUCUAACGGAAUAGAGGGUUGGUGACACCCGAUAUUGGAUGAAAACCAGAUUGUAACUAAAUAAUAAUAAUUAAAACUAAGUAUUUUGGACCGAUGAUUUAAAAUCAAACAAAUUUUUAUUAAUAGGAGGUCUCGUCGCCACAUGUACCCUCAUCAAGAAGUCUUCACAAUGAGGCUAUCUUGCUCCCUGCCAUGCUAGCAAACAUGGAGUAAAAUUUAACCCAAAACAGCUUAUGAUGAUGUGUAACAUUUUAAUAGGCUGAUCUAUCUGGCAUUGCCUGCUCAAUUUGGGAAAAAAAAAAGAGUCUAAAAUACAACAGUACAGUUGUAUUACUCAUUCAGUGUCUCUAACUAAUCAAAUUAUUUCUUUAAAUUCACGAGUCUCGUCAUGCUCGCUAAAAAAAUAUUUUUACUAUAUAUUUUAAAUAAAAAAUAUAAUUGAUUAAUUAUUGAUGAUAUAGCGUAAGUGUUAUAAUACAAACUUGCUCCUGAAUUUGAGGCUACAUCUUUUAUUUGUUUUUUUGCUUGGCAAUGAUUACCUAAAUUCAAAAGAAUACAAAGUUGUGGGAAACCCAAGUGAUCUUUCCCGUCAAUCCCCCUGUCAAUGCUACAUAAUUGUUACAUGUUUCUUUCCCUUUUUUCUUAACGUUUUGCUUGCCUUUUCAACAUUUUUAAAAUGUCUGAGAGAGAGAGAAAAUGGUGACUAGUUUUUGGCACCUUCCCUAAAGAAGUGGAGAGCGUUCCUCCACAUCACCCUGAUUCUAUGAGGUGUUGUUUCUUUUAGCAAAUUAAAAAUAGGGGCACCGACCGUGUCUAGCGUAAAUGACAAAAAACUUUAUAAUUGAUAUCUGAUAUUUCAAAGUCGAUUCCUAAUUGAUUCAUAUUUUCGGCUAAGUUUAUUUCUAAAAUGAAAUAAACGAAACAGAGAGUAUGCUACUUAAUUAUCUCUCAAAAAAAAAAACAUAGGGACAAUUGUUUAUGUAUGCCUGAAAAACUUUUAGCUAUCUCUCCACAAUCUCAAACGAACCCUUCGAAGGCUAAUAUUAAAAAUAUAAUUUUAAAAAUUUUUAAAGUUUUUCAAAUAUACUCCUAUAGUUAAAUUUUGUUAGUGAACAAUUAGGAACAGUCGUUAUCUCUAUAAAAUUAUCAUUUUACUUUUUUAAAUAUAUAUUUUCUAUCGUCAGUAACUUUUCUUAUUUAUCCUUAAGUCAAGGGUAAAAAAUGUAUUUUGACUUUUUGGCUUUUUGCCUUAAUUUUCAAAUAUAUUCUUUUACGGUAAAAAUUUAACUCAGGUUUAACCCGAGAUGAUAUGACAGGCACUAACAGUAGAAAUAUUUUUGAAUAAUAAAGAAAUACAUGAGGGUUACAUUUGAAAAUAAAAAAAAAAUAAAAAUAAAUGAGAUAUUUCAGAGAUUUUAAGAGAUAUGUAGGCAAUUAUCCAAAGUUAAAGGAUUGUAAGAAUAUACAUUUUCGAGACUAUCAGUUCAAAGAAAAUGCUCUCAUUACAAAUGCAUGUUAAGGGGACAAGUGAGAGUUUUGUGGUUGUGUCUCAUGAAUGAUAAGGCAAUUAAUCUAGGCUAUAAUUUGAAAGAGUUGAUAUUUUUAGCACCAGGUGUAACUCCUAAGUUGAUGCCAUUAUUAUUAUUAUUAUUUUCAAUUCUUGAUCAAUAUUUAUUUGCGUUUUCUUUUCGGUGAUCAACCUUACUAAUUACAGUUCGCGUAAAGUGUCAACAAAGUAGGAAUUAUCGAACGAUCAUUAGUAAAACACACGAACUUAUGGGGCUUUUCAUAUAACCUUCAGAAUCAUUUAAUAUUUAGCGUCUCAUUACAUGGUGGCUUAAAUCCAUUUUACCUUAACUUUACGAGUUUAAUCACUGCUAGUACAGUUAGCAAAAAUAUUCAUCCUCGGAGAGAUAUUUACGAUCAAAUGUCGGCAAUCGUAUGCGUCUCUUUGUGGGCAAUGAGUGGCCUAUUAAGGCUAUAUAUAGAGCCCUAAACAAACCCUAGAAGAGGCCUUCCAUGGGAAAGAACAAGGAACAUGUAAUGUGCUCUUCUUUAAUUUUGGGAUCCAGCUAAAAAUGAACAGCUUUUCUUUUUUUCCCUUUUGGUUUUGUUUUAAUCCUGUGAAUUAUCAGUCAAUGUGGGUCCAAAGCAGCUAAUAAGGAGCUCUCUCUCUCUCUCUCUCUCUCUCUCCCUUCAAAGACCAAAUAACUUUAACAUGUCUUUUCUUUAUUACUCACCCAUCUCUCUCUCUCUCUCUCUCUCUCUCUCUCUCUCUCUCUCUCUCUAUAUUUAUAGUCCCUUAAUAUCCUAUAUAUUAGAGAUUGAAUCACAUAAUAAAGAAAAAAUAUUUGAUAGUUGUGGAUGCACGUGUGGUAGGUGUCACUAAUUGAAGGAUCACAUCAAAUGAUUGUUUUAGCUUAUCCAUUUGUAUAUGUUUAUAAUAUAAUGGCCACUUGAGAGAGAUUAUGACAUUCUAUAGUCAUUGUAUCAGAUGAUCAUCAACAAGAAAAGUCUUAGCAUUCACAAGCCAUCUUAGGAUUCAGGGAAAGCACUCCUCAAAUUUAAUAACAAUUUAGCUUAUUAGCAUUAAUAACUCAUUAAUCUAUUUGCUUAAAAUACUAAAGUUCAGUUAUUAUCGCUAUAGCUCCUGAUCAUUAUUUUCUCAUAUAUAAUUUUUUUUUUUCAUCUAAUUAAUGUAGAAUUAGUAGGGCAUAACACAUCUUGAGCUUUUUUUUUAAUUUCAAACUGUAAUAAAUAAAGGCAUAAGAAGUAAGAGCCCAUUUGGUAUUAAGGGCACGUUUGGUUCGCACUAUGAAAGAUUACCGUGACACCCCAAUAAUCCCACAUCGGAUAGAAUUGGGGUUGUCAUGGGGUUUAUAAGAGACUUAGACACUAGUAAUAAUAACUGGGCUUAAGCAUUUUGGGCUGUUAGUUGGGCCCAACGAGUUAUUAUUGCUAGUGGGCUAGGUCGUUAAAUUCCUAUUCAUCCUAUUACUAAGAAUGUGACAUUCAUGUGUUUGGUUCGCACAGUUAUAUUAUUUAGUCAUGUUAUUUACAUUUACAAAAAAUGUACAUUUAAUUAAUUUUAGAUAAUGCUAUCAAAAAUUUCAACAUCUUUUUAGAAAAAAUGGAGAGAAAAUAUAGGUUAGAGAGAGAGAGCAUAAUUAAAUAAUAGGAAGAGAAAUAGAGUACUCGAGAUUAGAGGGAGUGAGGGAGUUGAAAUUUUAGAAAAAGAGGGGGAGAGAGAGCUUAGUUUAGAGAGAGAAAAAUAGUUGAAGUUUAGAGAGAAAAAUAUAAGUUUAGAGAGAGAUAUGAGGUUAGAGUGUAAAGGAUAAUAAUACUGACUAGCCGGCAGAUAGGAAGAAAGAAAGAGAUUAGACAUAUUAUGAUUACCCCAAUCCAUUAAUAUGAGGAUACCCACUCUCCCGCAAGGGAAUGAGAUUAGUACUUUGGGAUGAAUCUCAUUCCCAAGUGAAUCUAAUAUUACCAACUAGAUUACUUAGUGCUUUUAGCCAAACACCGUCAUAUUUUUUUAUUCCCAUUGCAUUACUAGGAAUCUUAAAAAGAUAGCGCGAACCAAACGCACCCUAAGAUUCAUCUGAUACUAGCAUACAAACGAAAUAAUAGUAUGAUUUUCCUUUUUCAGUGGGACAACAAAAAUAUACCGUAAUUAAUUCAUUUGGAUACACGAAACGUGAUAUUGCCUACGAAAAUAAAUAAUAUAUUUAUAAGAAAAUGAUGAAAUAGUAAUAGGAUCCUGAUGGAGGCGGGCUAAAUGCAUCAACUUGAGAUUUUGAGUGGAUAAAAUAUAGGAUUUUGAAGUUACAAAGGAAAAAUGGAAAAAAAGGAGAAAAAAGUGAAAAAAUUGAUAUUUACGGAUUCUUUUUUUAUAUUUUAGUCUAAAAAUAAAUAUAAAACGGUCCAUUAAUUUAGCUCAUAAAAAGUUUUUCAGCUUCAUAUUAUAUUAUAAACACAUGAUUCUGAAGGCAAAACAUCUCUCAUAUAUAUAUCGAACAUUAACUUACAGUUUAGGAUUAGAUUGGAAAUUUUAUGAACCAUUAAUAUUUUAUAAGAACAUCAUCAAAUCAUUCAAAAGACUUUCAUUCUUGAAUUUAGACUUUUUAGUGUAAAAAUAUAAAAUUUUUAAUUGACAUUAAAGUUUGUUUAAAAUAUAUAUAUAUAUAUAUAUUUAAUUAAUUAUGAAGCGUGAAAUUAACUUUUGUUUAAAAAUAUACCUGAAAACAAAUUAAAAAUUGGAGCAAAAUUAUAAAUUUAAAAAAUGGUGCUGCCCAGGUUCGAACUGGGGACCUUCAGUGUGUAAGACUGACGUGAUGACCGACUACACCACAGCACCAAAUUUGUAUUAUUUUUAUUUUUCAAAAAUAAAAAAUUAUACGUGUUGUAAAGACGGCAGAGAACCGUACUGCGAUAGCGACUCUGUCUUCGUAGAGUUAAAUUAAAGUCGGCAUUUGAGGUUGUUUUCGCUGCCGACUAUAGAAGGAUAACGCAACGGCCACCAGUCAAAAGCAAAAAAGAAAUAAUAAUAAUAAUAAUUUCAUAUGGGUCCCUGCAAAAAUAGUGAAUAACAAAUAUAUCCUUACAAAGUAUAAUUUUCAUAUGUUGUUUCUACAAAAGUACUAAUAUUUUUAAAUAUGUCGACCCUCUAAUUUAUCACCGUUAGAGAAUCAUAAAAGAAUCAUUUAUAUUUUCAAUUUUGCCGUUAUAAAUAUAUCUUUUCAAAAGUCAUAACAGGAGGGGCAAAAAUAUUAAAAACUAAUCAAAGCUAAGUAUUUAAUCUAUGGUUAACUAAAACUUUUUAACGAAUUUUAACAACAGGGAUAUAUUUAAAAAGAUUAAAACUUUUGUAGAAACAACGUAUAAAAGUUGAACUUUAUAGAAAUAUAUUUGUCAUUUAUUAUAUUUGGAGAGACACGUAGGAAAUUAACUCCAAAAAAAAAAUACUGCUUGGCGGUACAUGUUUAUAAGAGUAAAAUUGUUAUUUUAUAAAGAGUUGUCAGAGUUUAAUGGUUAAAUAUGGGGAAAACUCCAAAAAUCCUCCCGUGGUUUUGCACUUUUUUAUUUUAGUACCUUGUGAUUUAAAGUGUAUCAAGUUAGUAUUCUAUGAUUUACAGUGUAUUAAGUUAGUAGUCUGUGGUGUUAUUUUUGUAUCAAGUUAGUAUCUUGUUGUUUUACUUUUGUAUCAAGUUAUAUCCUAUAAUUUUUAAAUCACAGGAUACUAAAAUGAUAAAGUGCGAAACCACAGGGUAUCAAAGUGAUAAAGUGCGAAACCACAGGGUACUAACUUAAUACACUUUAAACCACAAGGUACUAAAGUGAAAAAGUGCAAAACCACAGAGUACUAACUUGAUAUACUUUAAACCGCAGGGUACUAAAGAGAGAAAAAAUGAAACCAUAAGGGGGGUAUUUGAAGUUUUUUCUUAAAUAUAUGUAUUGAGUUUAUGUGCAAAGUAUUAAAGUUGAGAAAGAUAUAUAUGUGAAAAUAUAAAGGGAUCAAUACUCAAUUAAAAAUAUUUGUAACGAUAAAUAUGUUAAUUUUUUUUAUGAAUAAUGACUCGUGUAAUACCUCAUUUAUUUCCGUUACAGCCGGUGUAUAAGUGUUAUUUUUGUUUACUGAAAUAUAAACACUCUUAAAAAUUAGAAGUUUGAAAUUUAAAUAUCUGCUAUCCUUUGAUAACAUUUUUUAAAUGUUAAAAAAUUAAAAUAUAGAUUUUAAAAAAUUAUAAAAAAAUAAAAAAAAAAGAAGAAGAGUAAUUAUAGAAAAAUGUUCUGUAUUACUUGUGGUGAUUUUUUUUAAUGUAGAAAUAUUUAACUUAUUUUUUAUAAUUUUUUAUAGUACUCUAUUCAGAUACUUUGUUUCAAGUACUAACUAGUCCAGAUUCUUAGUUAAGGUGUGUCGUAGAAAGAAGUUUCCAUAGUUCCUGCUCACUGGUUUAAACGGUUCAUUUUGAACGGCUAAAAUCAAUUCUAGUUUUAAAUGGACGAACCAGAUCGACCGAUGCGCAGGAUUUUUCCCAGUGGUCUAAAGAAAGAUCUACACCGUCCGUUGACUUGGCAACGACUCCACUUAUCAUCACGCGCUGACGUGGCGCAUUCCGGACCUCUAGCUCCAGUGCACUGCGUGAUGCAUUUCCCACAUUGACCGUUAUACCCUUGCAUGCGACGAAGAGCCGGGGGUUGCUAGCGGGGGUAUGUGCGUAAUUUGCUCUCUUCGCUAUCACAAAAACGCGCGCGUUUCCGUUUUAUCCAUUCCACCGGAGCGAAGAGAGAGAGAGAGAGAGAGAGAGAGAGAGAGAUGCAACUCUUCUCGUCGCCCAAAUCCUCUCAUUUUUCUCCUCUUUUCCCCUCUCCCUCCCCAAACCCUAACCCUAGCCCCAAAUCCCUCUCCCCUCUCCCCCUCCGCCCCCUCCCCUCCCUCCCCCUCCUCAGAUCCCCUCCCUCCUCCGCCCCCUCCCCCCUACGCUCCGAUCUCGACGAACGCGUCGCCGAAGCAGGGGAGGAGGAGGAGGAGGAGGAGGAGGGGGCUCUUGUGGUUCGGAGGCCGGUGAAGGAGUUCGCGGAGGAGGGAGGGGUCGUCGAUACGGGGUACUCGGAUGGGGAGGGAGGAGGGGCGUGGGCUUCGUCGUCUUCGAAGAUCGAUAGGGGUUUGUCGGAGUUCGCGAAGAAGAUGCCCAUUUUCGAGCCGGAGCGGGUCGGCGGGGCCGCCGCGGAGGAGAAGCCGCUCCCGAUCAACUUGGAGCUCGGGUUGUACCGGGCCAAGGUUUUGACCAGGUGUUUCGAGUACAAAGAAGCUGAGAACAUUCUUGUGAAGGUGUCGUCAUGGUUUGAUGAUGUUUAAUUUGAUUCUAAUUGUGAUGAAACUUUUCUUAUCAUUUAUUUUGUUGUCUAAAAGUAGCAAAUUUGGUUCAGUAAAACUUAGUGUGAAGCCCACUAUUUUGUAGAGUAAUUAAAUCGACUCCAUGCUACUAUUGAGAGGUAAACUUUUCCCAAUUCCGCAUGAACUUUGGGAUCUGUUUUAAGAUAGAGAAAGUUUUGUCGACAAAUGAAAGCUUAAACUGAAAUUCGAGGCAAGAACUAAUUGAAUGAAAAGAUCUUGAGCUACAUAGAAGCGUCCUGUAAUUCGAAUUGUCUUAUUGAUUCAGCAUUCACGUGUCCCAGGCCUGGAUUAGUAAUGUGUCGUUUAAGUGAUGUUUCUUAUAAAUUGAUCAUUUUCUUUUGACAUAUUAGAGUAAUUUAAAUAAAGAUGCUAUAUAUCAAGCCUUUUAUGCAAUGAUAUCCGCUCAUGUUAAACUACCAGAAAUCAGCUUAUUCUUGUUGCCUUUGGGUGUGUGAAAAGUUAUGUAACUGUCCUUACAUAUAUAAUUCACCAAUUAUUUAUUUAGUGUAUCAAGUUUUGGCCGGAAGAUGGACGGGCAUAUGUAGCCCUUGGGAAGCUUUUUUGUAAGCAAUCAAGAUUUUCUGAAGCUAGGGCAGUGUAUGAGAAGGGCUGCCAAGCAACGCAAGGAGAAAAUUCCUACAUUUGGCAGGUCCGUAUCCAUUCUACCGCAAGUUAACUUUUUCUUUUUUCAACACUUUAUGCUGGGAGAUCAUUAGUGUUGGGGACUAUAAUUUAUUAUUCGCAGUUUUUGUUGCAUAAAAAUUCCUACAUAAUAUUUUAUAUUGGUUGCAAUUUUGACUUUGGACUGUAGGAAGCAUGAACACUGGUGUAAACAAAGCAGCUGUUCUUUAUGAUUAAUAGUUCGUUUUUGAUCCUGUGAAUCAGAGUGGAUGAUUGUUGAGAUGAGGCUUUUAAGCAUAGUGAGGAUGGGAUUUUGGAGUUAUUUGUUGAUUUUUUUUGUCUAGUAAUGGAUGAAAUCUAUAGCCUGUAUCGCAUGAAGAUCAAUAGCCUAACCUAAUACAGGCAAUAAUAUAGUAUAGUUGUUCUUUUGCGAAUCCUGCAAUAGCUCAACUAUUUUUGUAACAAUCUUAAGUUCAACAUGAAAGAACCUUGACCAUAUAAAUGGACAGCAAGAGAUGAAAAUAACAUCAAAGUCAAGGUUCUCCAAAACAUCUUGAAGAACAAUUAUGAACCACUUCAAUUUUUUUUCCCUUUGUGUUUGGCAAAAGAUCUCGAAUAGUGAGAUUGUUGUUCUGCAUUAUGAUGCACAGUGCUGGGCUGUUCUGGAAAGUAAGGCUGGGAAUAUCCGAAGGGCAAGAGAACUUUUUGAUGCAGCCACUGUAGCCGAUAAGCAACAUAUUGCGGCUUGGCAUGGAUGGGCAGUUCUAGAAAUCAAGCAAGGGAAUAUCAAAAAAGCUAGGAAUCUCCUUGCAAAAGGGCUUAAGUAUUGUGGUGGGAAUGAGUACAUAUACCAAACACUUGCUUUGCUUGAAGCUAAGUCAAAACGAUUUGAGCAGGCACGAUUCUUGUUUCAGCAGGCGACCAAGUGCAAUCCCAAAAGUUGUGCAAGUUGGCUUGUGAGUGUUUUUUUCUACUUCUAUAUUCUCACUACAAGAUGCUGCUUGUCUGUAAACAAAAUUAAAAUAAAAUGAGCUUUAUGGGAGCCUUACUUUAUGGAAAACUUUGUUUUGUCAUAGGCUUGGGCUCAAGUAGAGUUGCAGCAAGAUAACAACUUCUUUGCUAGGCAGCUCUUUGAGGUAAUUCUUGUUCCCCCCAGUUAGAUGAAGUUACCUCUCAUUGUGUUAAUUAAGAUUUCUUUCUAUUUAUUGUUUCAUGCAUGAAUGUAUGCAUGUAUGUGUAUAUUUCUGGGUGUCCAGUGAGGCAAUGACUUAGUCAUCUCCAUUAGCUGAGUAGGCUACUUACUGUAAAAGAGUUUGAAGAGCAUAUAGGAACUUACCAAGAAGUAAUAAACAGAGAUAAGAAGCUAUUUAACCACAUAAGAACUACGUGACGUCCAAUUCAGUGCAUGUCAACCUCUUUGCUAUGUUAUCUCAGGCAGUUAUUUAAUGCAAUAAGGCGAUGCCAAUAUCUCUCCUGAAUAUGGUUUAUAUAGAAAAUAUAACUUUCGGGAAAACAAAGAACCAAACUAAAGGUUGCAAUUAUCUGCGUAAAAUUUGAAACAUAGAAUAGUAUCCCUCUCUUUCCUAUGCUAAUUUCUUUUGAAUAGUGAUUUCAUCAAUUGACUUGAUCCUAUGUUGCACGAUUCCCACAUGCUAGUGUCAACUAAAAUAAAUAUUUACAGUGAAAUUAACUAAUGUUUUAUUUAAUUAAUUUUAUGCAGAAUGCUGUACAGGCUAGUCCGAAAAACAGAUUCGCCUGGCACAUCUGGGCUUUGUUUGAGGCCAAGCAGGGUGAUGUUGACAAAGCAAGGAAACUCCUUAAGAUUGGUCAUGCAGUAAACCCUAGGGACCCUGUCAUUCUUCAGUCACUCGCAUUGCUGGAAUACAGACAUUUGUCUGCCAACGUUGCUCGUAUUUGGUUUAGAAAAGCAUCUAAACUGGAUCCAAGACACCAACCAGUGUGGAUUGUAAGAAUCUCUCUCUCUCUCUCUCUCUCUCUCUCUCUCUCUCUCUCUCUCUCUCUCUCUGCAAAGUAUAAGCGCAUCUCAUGUGUUUCUCGUCACUGAAUUAAUUGUAGGCUUGGGGAUGGAUGGAGUGGAAAGAAGGAAACAUAAGCACAGCAAGAGAGCUUUACCAAAGAGCUUUAUCAAUUGAUUCAACGAGUGAAAGUGCUGCCCGCUGUCUUCAGGUAUAGAAUUUCUCCUUUUAUGUGGAAAGCUCAAUAAUCUUCAAUAGUGCACUAUUUGUAAUUUGUUGUCGUGUGAUGCCAUGUGCUUCUACUAUGCAUUUGUUAUUUUUAGAUUAUAUUUCUUGCUACAGUGAGGUUUUUCAGUUGUUUUAUUAUUUUGUUUAAUAGAGCCAAUUUACCAUAUAACAUAAAAAGAAGUUGCAAUAUUUAUUUAUACCAUUGUGAAGACCGACUGAAGAUAGAUGAUUCCUGCUGCAUUUAUGUAACUGCUUAGUACAUUAUCAGGAUCUUGAUAGGUUUUGUGUCCCUGCAGGCAUGGGGAGUUCUGGAGCAGAGGAUUGGCAACUUAUCAGUCGCUCGAAGAUUGUUCAGAUCUUCGCUGAAUAUAAAUUCUCAAAGCUACAUAACAUGGAUGACGUGGGCGUCAUUGGAGGAGAAGCAAGGUAAUCCUAUUCGGGCUGAAGAAAUCCGCAAUCUCUAUUUUCAACAGGUUAGUGGUAAAUCUGCUUUCUCUCUCUAAACCCAUUUUCCUUCGAUAAAUUCACAAAAAUUUGAUUGGACUCGUGAGUGAUGUCAGAAGGAAAUUAAUAGCUUAUGACAUUAGGUCAUCUUUAUUUUGCUUCUAUGAUGUUGGAGAUAUGAUCAAUCUAGGAUUCUAGCUUCUUGGUGCAUGAUGCAUCAUAUCACAGCAGUAUAAUCAAUCUUGGAUGGUCAACAUUCAUGCUAGAUUUUUUUUUAAAAAAAAAGAAUUAAUCCUUUGUUGUCUUCUUCUUAGAAUUGAAUGAAUCUACUUACGAGUUGCCAUCUUUUUAACGAAACCUCUAUUGUCGCAUUUUCUUUCUGUUAGAUUAUGACAUUACAAAAAAACUAAUAAAUAAUGUUAAAACAGCGUACGGAAGUCGUGGAUGAUGCUUCGUGGAUCAUGGGUUUUCUCGACAUCAUCGAUCCCGCUCUCGACAGCAUAAAGCGACUCCUAAACUUUGACCAAACUUCGGAAUUCAAGGAAAAAGAUACUACAAAACGCACAGAAGAAAAAAACAACACCACUGACGAAGCUUCAAUCAGUUCUGAUCCUGCCAACAACGACAUUGUAAAAGCCGUAGACGAUGCAGAUCCUCGCAGUAGCGGUUUCAAUUUAGAUGCUUUUAUCAGAGAGAAGUUGUUGCUCGAUCCAUCGGAAUUGGACAAACUGAUGGAGAGUCCUGAACCGAAGAAAGUUGCGCCUCAGAGGAAAAUAUGGAGAUCGGUACAGAAAACUAUUCAUGCAGAGACUUAAGCCUUUGUUUACAUGUUAGCCAAAGAAGAACCAUUCUAGUGAGCGAAAACAAUAAAUGUUAACAUAUGAGUAGGUUUUCUUCUCUUUCGAAGAUUGCUCGAAAACCAUACUGAAAAUCUGAAAUUGUCGAUAUGUUGCAUAUUAUUUGUAGAUAUUUAGACAUUUUUUUGUAAGACACCGCGUCGGAGAAUUUAUUGAGAUCUGGUGAAGCUUUGUCAUGUUGCCUCAGAACAUCGGCUUUGCACCAAAAAUCUUACAGGCCCAUUAAGAUGUCUAACUAAAUUGUUGAACCUAGGGCACGUGUACACACGCACACGCUUUAAUUGUGACACACAUUGACUUUGAUCAAUGUGUAUCACAAGCUUUGUUCGUACGAUGAUACGAGUGCGCAUAUAAGGAAAUAACGAUUCAAUCUAAGCUUGCAACAAAUUUCAUUCAUGCUAUUCUUUAUCGGCAAUAAACAACAUGUGAGAAUACAAAAACAAAAAAAAGAACCCAGGAAUCAAAGAACACAACAUUUGAACAAGUAACUAUGAAGCAGAACCAAUGGUUGUUGUUCGUAAUGAACAAGAAGGAAAAGGAGAAAAAAAAAAAAGAGGAAAAAAGGGGGAAAAGAAAAACAUUACAACUUCCUGGGUGUUGAAGAAAAUGAAACAUAUACAAGCAUCAUUCCACAAAACCCUGCCCACGCACCCUUCCCAAGUUUGAUUACAAGCCCCAGAGAUCAGCUCACUAGUAACUUUCCCACAACCCUUCAUCUACCUUCAUGAAGAUCUUCAGAGAACACAUUUGUUCUGUUAAUGUUAUCAUUGUCAAAGAGACUUAGGCCUGAAAACGGUCCGGAAGAGAACAUAGAUGAAGUCCCAUCGGAUUCGUAGGUGGUGGAAGAUUGCCGGAUAUUUGGUCGGGCGGAUGGGGUCGGCACGUUCUCUUGGUAUUCUGUCACGCGUUGAACCAUUUUGAGAGACUGAACCACCUCGCCCAUCGUUGGCCUCUGGUUCGCCUCUGAUGCAACACAGGCGGCCGCGAUUGUGCAGACCCUGAUGAAGUCCUCUUUCGGGUACCUACCCGCAAGUUUCGGGUCAGCUAGCUCUUCCAGUCUAUCCUUGUCUCGAAGUAUUGGCCGAGCCUAUACGUAAUAGGAGCAUUAACAAGAAAGGCUUAAUAUUCACCAUACUCAAAAAAAAUUAAAUAUUGUACAUAUACCCAAACAAAAAAUUGAAAUAUCAUAUAUGCCCUUGCUUUUCUUAAACAUAUUCUUUCAUGAAUUCACUUUUCAGGGGGCAAUUAUGAAAAUUGAAAGCACAUUUUUAAGGGCAAUUACGACACGAAUGGAUACACUUAAGGAAUUGGUAAAAGAGUAGAUGAAAUUACCUUAUAAUCAAAUAUAGUUAAACAAGAUAAGAUUAUAUAGUGUUUCUCGUACUAGAAUACGCACCGAGCGCAUGUAUCUAAAAUUAGAAAUAUGCGAUUCAACAGUGAGCUCUAUCGAUCUAUAACAACAACGGAUAUAGAGUCAAAGAAGAUAAAACGGUAAGGAGAGAGAAAUCGAACCCAAGUCACGAGGUUUUCCUGGCCAGAUGGUUGCGACAUAUCGACAGGCCUCCUUCCCGUCAGCAGCUCAAGUAAAACCACACCAUAACUAUACACAUCACUCUUUACAAGUAGAUGUCCUGUCAUUGCAUAUUCUGGUGCUACAUACCUGCAAAAGAAAUAAACGAGAGAUAUCAGCAUGUUUACAGGCAUACUGCUACAAAAUUAUACAUUGGCGUGCAAUCCCUGCAAAACAUGAAUUCUCACAUAUAAUCUUCAAAGCCUUGAAUUGUUACAGACAUACCCUUGUACUAGCAAAAAUGCCCCACUUAAAAAGCUUUUUAUUUAAUAGAAACAAACUUCCCCCAAGAAUUGGAUGACCUAACUUAAGUAAGAGAAGGGCAGCAACUGAUCCCGCAAGAUGAAAAAUUCUUUUUUUUUUGUCGCAUACAUGCAGAUAGAUGGUUUUGCAGGGAUAUAAAUGUAAACUCCCCUAAAAGGCCACUUAACUAUGUAGGAUCGUUGAGAAUUAAAGAGAGAUGAAACGGAAAUACCCAAAUGUUCCCAUGACACGAGUUGAGAGAUAAUUGGCUCGUCCUUCUGGUGCCUGUUUGGCCAAGCCAAAAUCGGAUACCUUGGCAUGGAAGUUGUUUUCAAGCAAUAUAUUCGAUGCCUUGAAGUCUCUAUGUAUCACGCAUGGCUGAGAGUCUUCAUGAAGGUAGGCUAACCCCCUUGCAGCAUCAAGUGCAAUCUUCAUUCUGGUGUCCCAGUCCAAAGGGCAGUUAGCUCCCAAGGGACCUAAAAAGCAGUACAGGACGUUCAUGUCAGUAUAAAUUAAUUUUUAAUCUCAAACUACAACCGCAAACACUAAGAUGAAAUUGUAAUACUGUGGUAAAGCGUCAAAAGGGAAUCUCAACGUCUGUUGGAGACGGCUUCUGGAAUAGUUUCUCUACUCAAGAAACAAAAGUAGACUGUUUUAAAAACAAGAAGCGUGGAACUUUUGGCUGUGGAGAGAAGCUAGUAUGAGCUUUUGGGGCCCAAAAUCAACAAACCUUUUGCUUCUGCUACAGUGAGAAGCUGUUAAGGGAAAUUCAAAGAAAAGCUUGAUACUGUUUCUUCAAAUAGCAAAAUUCAGCAGAAGCUCCAGCCCAACCAAACAAGCCCUCAAUGUUUGUUUGGCCCUUCUUCUAGGCUUCUCUACUCGAGAAGCAGAAGCCAAGUAUGGCACACGAAAAUUCUGGAAAUUCUGAUUAUGGAAAGAAACCAAAAUGAGCUUGUGAACCCCAUCCCCAUAAAUAGAAGCUCAAAAUUGAGGUUUAAAGCAGUUGAGGGUAUUUUAAUUAAAAACUUAAGGGCUCCUACAAGGAGCUAUUGAAACUGUGCAUCUGCAGAAGACCAGCAAACUAAAAAAUGCCCUAGGCUUCAGAACAUAGGAACCGGUUAAUGAAAGAAGUACUACCAUGAAGCCAAGACUCUAAGCUUCCAUUUGGAACAAGCUCAUAGCAUAGCAGGUUCUGUGAAGACUCACGACUACUAUAAUAACCAAUAAGCUUCACAAGAUUCCGGUGGUGCAGCCUACUUAGCAUCUCAACUUCCACCAAAAACUCUUUAUCUCCCUGGUGGCCGCCACUGCUUAGCUUUUUAAUGGCAACGGCAGUACCAUCACUGAGCACGCCCUUAAAAACACGACCAAAACCACCUUCUCCAAGUAAACUUGCGGGUUCAAAAUUAUUUGUUGCUUCUUUGAGUUCUUCAUAAGGGAGGAACCGUGUACUUGUUGGGUGAGGAAUAGAUCCUUCUACAGAAACUGCAUCCGGGGCCCUAGGCUUGGCUGCAUAAUCAUGAAGCAAGAUUAGCAAAUAGUUUACCAACAAUAAAUACAAUCAUUUCAACUUUAGAUUAGACUAGGUUAGACUAUAGAGUACCCCCCAAAAUAGUGCCACUUGCACCGUCACAAUCUUAAGACUUUAGCACUUGAUCCCCUUCCCGUUACAAGCAAUAACUUUAUCUAAAUUAUGCAACUCAACAAAAGAAGUAAAAGAAACUACGUGUGACUUUAACAACACUACGACUUGGGUAUUGCCAUAUCUGAAACUAAUUGAACCUUCUAUAUAUAAGAUGUAUGCAGGAAAAAGAAAAAAGAAAAACAAAACCUUCAGUGAAAUUAAACAAGGGCAAAAGCACGUAAAUUUAAUAACAUCUACCUGUUUCUUUGGCUGGUAUCUCAUCUUUUCCUUUCCCAGAUGCACAGGAGCAAAUUAUUAAAACAAUUAUCAGAAUAACAAUGAGAACACCAACACAUAUGCCAACAACAAUAAGUAAAUUGGAAUGCUUCUCAUCUCCAGGAUCUUUAAUUGGUUUUGGCACAUACGGCUUUGUGGGUGGGGAUGCCAUAGGCGAUACAGGAAGUGCUGGAGCUGAAAAACAAAUGAAAAGUUGGCAAGGCAGAUCAAAACUAAUGUUACAAAAACAUGUAAAAAAGACUACCUUUUAUAGACAAUUCCAGCAAUUUUCAAGUAACCUUAAUGAAGAAGUGCAAGCAAACUAAAAUGAAUGGGCCCUGCAGAACUAUGUACGUAUUAUAUGUGCCGAAACAAUGUCAAGGAAGAAAGAAAUAUGAACUAUGAAAUACUAUAUUUGAAGAGCAUGAAUGAGCAAAAGAAAGCAACAUUCAAUAAGUGACCAUAGAAUAGGAUUGCCAUGCCAGUUUGUCAGGGUCCUUUUUGGUUGUCAACGGCCCUAACUUUGUCAAUAACAUUGAGUUUGUAAAGAGUCUAUAAAUGUUGUGUCGGGCACGACGUCGACAUAGGAUUUUCCUUCUUUGGGUGGGCAUUGCUUGUAAAUUGGCAUCCGGUUGGCUACCCGCGGGUUCACUCAUGCUACACAUCCAAGGGGACAUAGGUAUUUCGCUAACGAUGGCCACUUAUGCGACGGAUUGAGCCGAACGCGUGUCGGACAUGGGUUGGCGGCCUAUUUUUCCAUGGGUGUGCGGAGUGGGAAAAACGUACCCCUCGGUGAGCACUUUUGUACCCCGGGGGUGCCAAAUAGGUGGAUGCCAAUAUAGGGUAGUACGGGAAGGUUGGGUGAGCCGUAUUAAGUAAGCCGGCUUCGCUAGAUGCAAAGUGUCUUGGUGAUCAUUUUGCCCUCAUCGGCCAUGCCCGACCAAGUCGAGUCGUGUGCCUUUCGCUUGUAGUCCAACUUUUCAUUAUCAAUAAAAUAUUCGUUGUUUGUGCCAAUUUGCAGGACCCCUUUCCGUACUCUUUCUCAAUUCUCGGUCAUUGCCAAUUUGCGAAGUUGUGCCUCAGGACGGACUGGCUGGCUCGUUUGUGCAGGUGACGAACGAGCACCGCGCGGGCUUUUCGACAAAAAGUCAAUAGACCCGUGACAAGUUGGCACGUUCUGGCAUGUCCGGCACGUACCUCCCAUGCCAACCAUGCCAACAUAUAAAAUGGGGUGCGUGCCAGCAUGCUGUGCCGUACUGUGCCGCUAACAAACCAGCAUGCCAUGUCGUGCCAUUGACACACUAACACGCCCUGUGCCAGUGGAACAGUAAUCCUUUCAACACAUAGACUCCAUUGACUAGAAGUAGUUGAGGACCACAUAUCUACAAGAGUCCUGUAUUUAUUUAGUAAGCUAAAGUUCGUUACAAAUUACAUGGGGACGGGAUCUUCUGUAUAUAUCAUAUUUAUUUGAUGGAUACAUGAUUUUGAAAAUUUAAGAUGUCUUUUGACUUUCAACAUGUGGAACCGCAAAUGUUAUGAUGACAAUGCAAUGUUAUUACAUGGUUUUAUGAAAUAUGCUCAGCUCUCAGAUAUUUUGGGCAGCAAAAGGAAGCCAGCUAAUUAGUUAUCAAUUUCCGAAGUAUGGGAAAGUUCAAGAACUGAAAUGUUUAAGUAAGAUGUGAAGGGGUCAUUGUGCCAGACAAAUAACUACAUUCUAGUAAGACAAUUUUAGGACAUAAGUAGAUCACACGUUACCGGGAGAUGGAGCCAGUGGUCUAAACCAAGUUAAGUUAAGAAGUGUGUAGUCACCAACUAGAUCAGGGUUGAUGCGAACAUUAUGCUGGACAAGUGAAGAAUUCAUCACAUUAACUUGAUCAGCUGAGAAACUAAUUCCUGUAUGUGGGGCUAUGUCCAUUGUAAUAUUUAGUCCAGAAGCACCAACGACAUAGAAGUUAUCAAUCUCCAAUUGAUUAACAAGCAAAUUGAGCUGAGAAGCAAGUUCUUCAAGGAAUUCAUUGCUCCAAUUUGAACUCAAAGAAACAUUACGAAGAAAAAGCUCAACUUUUACGGGGUAGACACAGUGGCAAUCUUUACUUCCACGCUUCAGCACCAUGUUUGGCCGACAACAGCCUGCUCCAAUGGAAAACACAAGCAAAUAAGCAAGAUAAAAAAGAUAAAGCUACAGUAAAAAUAGGUGACAUAGUUUUAAUUCGAUCUUUCAUGUUCUCUACUAAGCAAGAAUAACAUCCAAAUGAAUUUUUAGAUUCCUAUAAGACUUGUAUAUAAUUAAAUAUCAACAGUAUAACCAGAUACAGAGUUACCAUGCAGCUCAUCUCCAGAGGUAAUGAAGUGAAUAAAGUUUAGACGGUAGUGUUUUUUUCCUACCUUUUAACAGAUAAAAUAUCGAAAAAUCUUUUCCUAUCACUGUAAGAGAAGAAGAAAAAAUAUAAGAAUCCAAAGGAACCUUACCAAAAAAAACUUUCAUGAAUAAUUUCAUUUCAGUUAUUAUGAAAUUUGGCAGAUAACAUUCUGAAAAAAGGAUUUAAAAAAAAUUUGCAAAUGUAGACCUUAAAUUAUAAGGACUCACUAGCCUGGCAAGGGACAAUGGGAAAUGACAAAUACCUUAAAACAUAACUAACUAGAAGUCAAGUAUUAGAAUAACUUACUUGAUUCAGGUCUCGUCCUCAACCAAUUACAAUAUUUGUCAAAAUACUAAACUGAAAGUUAAAAAAGCUUCAAUAAAAGAUGACAUCACCUCACUUUUCAUAUCAAAUUAUAAGAUUUAAACCAUCCAUAAACUUCAAUAAAAAAUGACAUCAUCUCACUUUUCAUAUCAGAUUACAAGAUCUGAACCAUCCAUGUGACGCUUGCAAUUUAACAAGUAAAAUAAAGCAGAUAUUUGGGCAACUAUUAUCUUUUAAUGUUGUUAAUGUUAUAUGCUUAAACAACAAAAUAUCCAACUGCAAGUUCAACCAACCAGUGUGAGGAGCCAACGGAGGCUGCGAAAACCCAGAAGGGACUGUACUGGAAUUGGAAUCCGAAUGGGCACCAGUAACAGGUGAAGGAACAAGUGCCGAAUCUGAACGUCGGUCCUGCUUCCUGGAAGGAUUAGAUAAGCGCAAGGAAUUCGAAGAGGGCAGACCAACUACCCGUAGCGAGCCAUAAUUUGGAGGUGGAAUAGGGGCCCGUGCAGGUGAAGGGACACCUUGUGGUGAGAAAAUUUUCUUUUGACUUAAAUCGACGAUGGUGAAACUUGCUCGUCUGGAUUUAAGCGGUCGCCAUCCAUGUAAAGGAGAAACAUCAGGAGCUAUUAGUGUUACUUCUGAUGUAUAACCGGUCGGUUUCGCUUCAGCAAUAAGUUCCACAAACAACAGAGUCACCAAAUAAUUCAACAACAAUAUUCUUUGGGAAUCUUUUAACAAUCCUGCAAGAUCGAAAUAACACAGAGGUUUGAACAAGAACAGCCAAUGAUAAUGAAAGAAGUUUGUGGUCUAAUAAGCAAAGGUUUAAGCAGGAAUAAACAUUAAUAAAAAUAAGAGGUUUUCAUAUGUGGGUCAAAUGAAUGUGUUCCAAUAACAAUGCAUCCACUUGUCAUAUUUUAUUCCUCUAUUUGACAUGCAAAAUGGUGUUUACAGUUAUGCUGCACAAAUAAUUUUUUAAAAAAAAAGAACUAACAACAUGCAGAAUCUUGGCUAAAAACAUAUAAAUAAAGGUUUCAUGCAUAUUUUCUCAAGUAAUGCUUUAGAUCAACCUCAUUUGCAAAUAGGAGGCCACAUAACCCCGCCUAAUUUUUUAGGUUGAGUAACCAAAUGCCUAAAGAAAUGAACAAAUGUAAGCAGCAUGUGAGGUAGCAAUGCAUGAAAGAACAACUCCAAAGAGGAGAAACACAGCGCAUGUAAGCUUAAUUUGCAAAGGAGGCGACGCCCUAAUCGAACUCUCUCAGCAUGAAUCAACCCCUAAUCAGAAACAGUAAGCUCAAACAUUUAGUUCAUCACUCCAAUCACCUCAAAUCAUCGCGAUUUCCCCCUAUAAAAACUAUAAAGCUGCGAUUUUGAUCUCCGAAGCACUCAAAAACCCAAUCGAAGCAAUCGAAUCGGGAGAUCUCUAUCAGGAACAAGCUCGAACGAGUACCUCUACAGUGGCGAGGCCGAAUCCCACGGCCGAGACCCCUCAUCGCCGAUCCCGCGGAACCGAAACCGAUCUCCUCGAGCUUAGCGGAGGGGGCAUGAGAGGUCACCGGAGCUCCGGCGAAAGAGUGGAGCAGCGCCGCUAAGAGCGGUGGCGGGGGCCGAGAUGGGGCGAGAUGGGGUGCGGCGGGGCUCGAAUCGCUCGGCGCGGCGCGGCGGAGACGGGGGAGUCGAUCGCGAUCGGGGAUCUCCCAUCCAUGGGGAUCGGAUUCCGAGGGGGAGGGGGAGGGGAGGAGAAGGGGGGAAAGGGUUAGGGUUCGGAGGAGUUCCUCUUCUCUUUUUGCUCCCCUAGAGCUCCGUUGCUUUUUGCGCCUGCGCUCUUUUUUCCUUUUUUUUUUCCUCUUUUUUUAUUUUUUUCCUUUUCUUUUAUUUAUUUAUUUAUUUAUUUAUUUUUAAUUACAUGGUUCGGUAUCUAACUGUAACAAGAAAACGAAUGUAAUGGAAUCGGGAAAUAAAAUAAUUAUUAUAAAAUAAUUAAUAACGUUUUUAUUGCUAGUUAUGGUAGUUGAUAAGCACACCCCUAUUUUUGUUAUAAUUACACACUCUCACUUGUGCUAAACUAAUAGAAGCUAUUAUUUAUUUAUUUUUGGUUUAGCUAUAAAUGAUUAGUUGUUGAAUUCAUUAUAAUUCAUAAAUAAACGGACCGAAAAAAUUAUUUGCGGUUAAAUGCCGCAAAUGAAUUAGCAAAAAAAGUCAAAAAUAUUUAUAAUUAUUUUCAAUAAGUACAGAGAAAAAAAAUUUUGAAGCAUUUCGUACUAUUGAUUAAAAGUUCGUAAUCUUAAUUUCUAUUAUAAAUUAUAAGCUGUUGAAGAUAAUACCUGGUGGAGAUCGAAUAAAUCAACCAAUAUUAAUAACUUAUCUAAUUUUAUAAUUCAAAUCAAAAUAAUUAAAAGUUUAGAAAGAUGCUGCUGAGCAAUCUAUAGUUGAGGUUCGACAUAUAAUUUUUACCGAAUAAAUAAUAUUUUUUUGCCACAAAUUUUUUUACUUUUUUUAUAUUUUAAUAUUGCAAAACUCCAUGUUUCUUCUUACCAAGUUGUUCUAAAAAAAUAAAAAGUUAAUUGAAUAAUUCGAUUUUUUUUUUUUGUUGACUAAGCUACACAUACUUUCAAAAAAGAGACAAUAGUCAAAGGAGAAACUAACACAAAUUUUUUGACUCUUAAUGUCCCAUUGUCUCUUAAUUCCCACAAAAGUCAAAGUACGAGAUAUUCAAAUCCCUAAUUAUAAUAUUUCUCUCCUAAUCCUUGUUUUGGAGUGUGAGUAUUUUAUUUCAUUAUUUUAUUAACACUUGAGAUGUUACACGUUAACACCUAUAGGUAUCUCAUUAGCAUAAUAAUAUAAUAUUUAUUUAGCUUUGGAUAAUACUUACUUAAAGCUAUAUUAUCCAUAGCUCCAUCCUUGGGGAUGUGCAAUUAAUGUAACAAGCAGAAAAAGAAGAAUGCACAGAUUUACGUGAAAAUUUUUUUGCAGAAAAAAAAUCACGAGCGAGAGAGAAGAGAGCUUUACUAUCGAAGAAGAGAAUACAAUGUUUAAGGUAUACUACUAAUCACGAUAUGUCGCUCUCCGUUACUCACCAUAGACAUUUAUUUUUCCUUCGCAACUAAUUUUUCAAAUUAGUUGCACCACAAAACUAUCGGCUAGUCGAAGUUUCGAACUGAAGCCGAUUAUCAAAUUUUGAGUAACAUCUAACAACCAGCACAUAAGAUCAGAAUCUCAAAAGACCCAAUUUUUCGGAACCUUUUUCGGUACAUGGAUGAUAGAUAGAAUGUACCAUAAUUUAUCUAGCAUCUUCUUUAUUUUAAUUCAAGAAAAUUUGAGCAAACUUGUAGAGAAAUUAUGUAUCUAGCAUCUUUUUUUUUGGAAAAUGCACCACCACAUAAUCACCCAAGUUUUUAAUCAUGAAAUAGAAAAAAGGCAAAAAAAACUUGGGUUCUUUCCUUUCAACUAAGAGGUAAGAUGCUACCAAAAGGUUACAAGUAUGGUUUCUGAUACAUGUCACUGUACUUUGUCAUAUCUAAAUGUACAGUUCACCAAAAAAAAAAAAAGAUUAUGGUGAAUUCCCUUUCCUCUUCAUCUAAUUAUGAGAUGAUAUAUAUGACACAAAAUGUUACAAAGUAUGAUGUUAUUUUUGACAUAUGGCACUAUACAUUGUUCCAAGAAAACUGUUAAUAAAUGAAAAAAAAUAAAAAAAAAAAAUCUAGGAAUGACUCUUUAAGCAGCAGGAUAAAAAUGCCUCAACUAAAUCUGCAAUCUAUAGUGUUUUUCGCAUAUAUAUACUCCUCAAAAUAUGUGAGAUUGUAGAGUCCCUGCGAAUCGCGCCUUCUUUGGAUAUCAAUGCAUAGAGGUUUGUAACUGUAUUUGUAUAUUUGCAGAGGUAUGCAAGCAGAAGCAUUAAUAUGUAGAUAAAACAUGUAUGUUGCCCUCUUCUUUUCUUUUUCCCAGAUUACUUUGCUUCCAUGUCACUCACCGACAACUUAUUCAACGAAAAUGGGGACUUCGAUGAGGACGACAAGAGAGAAGAGGACUCGGAGCUGUUGCUUUUGUUAGCAUUUGACCCCUUGAUGUCGAUGAAGGGAGGCUGAGUCGGAGAAGGCAGUUCUUUCGAUCCGCUGUUCAGCAUCUCCACCACCUUCCACAUUGGCGGCCGAAGAUUUGGCGACGCUUGCGAGCAUAAAAGACCCACUUGGAACACCUUGAGAGCUUCCUCGUCCGAGCACCGAUUGCGAAGGCACGGAUCGAGCAUUUCUAUUAGCGUUCUCGAUUUGAACUGCCGCCAUAUCUUUUAGAAGCAAAAGGAAAGAAACUGUGAAACAAAAGAUCAUCGGUUUUGACGCAAAAACUAACAUAAAUUUGGAUCUGUUUUUGCUGCAGCAAGAAGCUAUUGAGGAGAUUUUGACCUAGCUUGUUUAGCCUGGCUUCUGAAACAGAUUCUUUUUCUUUUUUUAGUCAUUUGUUGUGCGUGGAAGUCGAAAUAAGAUUCUGCGCACAAAAGCAAAAGCUCCAACCGUAACCAUCUGAUUCUAUUGCAUAGAGAAGCUAUAAGCUCCAUACAAACAGUUAUUGCAUGCUGUAGAAGAUCCAGCAAAACCAAAACCUAAGUAUGAGUAGAAAGUUACCUGCGACAUGAGAGAUUGGCCUUCAGGUGAGUCAUCCACAGAGUUGUUGUUCUUUCGGCCCGUAAUAAUCUCAAGAACGAGUAUCCCGUAGCUAUAGAUAUCGGCUUUCUCCGUAAGCUGCCCAUGCACGAUGUACUCGGGAGCCAUAUAACCACUACAAGAAUUUGAGUGCACUAGCCGUUACUCAACAGUAUCUAGGAGCAUACAAGUUCUUGUUGGACUAAAAUGCAGAAAACACCUAUCAUAUCAUGAUUCUUCAGCAAUAUUUGUCACUAUUUUUGUAUGACAAAUACAUGUUUCAUACUACGGAGGGGACAAUGUACAAAUCGAAAUAUUUAUAAGGGGUGUAUCUUGCAUUUUAGGCUUCUUUUGAACUUACAAAGUUCCAGCUAUUCCGGUGCUAAGAUGGCUCUGAUCCUCCAUGAAGUACCGAGCCAAGCCAAAAUCAGCUAUUUUCGGCUUAAACCUCUCAUCCAACAAUAUGUUACUGGCUUUUAUAUCCCUGUGUAUGAUCCUCACUUCAGAUGCAUUAUGGAGAUAAGAUAACCCCUCCGCUGUCCCGACAAUAAUCUCGAGUCGCUUCUCCCAAUCCAGUACAUUUCUCUUGAAAGAAUCUGAAGUAUAGGGUGAAGAAACCAUAUUAAGCCCAUCACGAAUAGUUAGAAAUGUAGUAAAACUAUAUUUACUGCACUAUUUCGCGGAGUCAAAUAGCUUUAAAGCCUCGGAAAGGCGUGAAAGAGUACCGAAUAAGAAGCUAUCCAAGCUGGUGUUGCAGAGAAACUCGUAGACGAGGAGGCUCUCGGGCCCUUCGAUGCUGCAUCCUAGUAGCUUUACGAGGUUUUUGUGCUGAACACGACUGACGAGGCUAACUUCGUUAAAGAACUGAUCAGCCCGUUGCGUCGCAUUGAAGAAGAGCCUCUUUACUGCAAUCUCCUUUCCAUCUGGUAAAACCCCCUAAGAAGAAGAUUCCAUACCAUCUUCAAGUUUAGAAGGGGAAAAGAAAAAGGAAAAUGUCCAGAUAUUGUGACUUAGUCCCUGAACUUUAUCACACAUAUUGUCAAGCUGCUAAACCUAGCAGCAUGUAAGUUUUUCCUAUAAAAUUAACCAUUUUAGCCAUGUUUCUAUCAAUUGCACUGAAAUAAAACAGUUACUUUACAGAACAAAUAAAAUGGCCAUUUUACUGGAUUAAAAAACUUAGACUUUCUUUUAUAAUCAAGGAUGAAAUUGCAAUAUUCAAGAAGCAGCAAAAUCAGGACAGUACAUUCAAAAACUAGCAAUACAUUUUACCAACACAAGGUAUUAAGAAUCUUAAGAUAAUAUACAAGGAAUACGUUUAGGAUAAAGCACAGGUACUCCUUGAACAUUUCACAGGUUACAAUUUUGUCCAUUGUCUUUCACUUUAGGAGGCGUUUAGAUUGAAAUCAAGUUUGGUGAGAGUAAAAAUAUUGGUCUUGCCAUCAACUAGCAUAAUACCGAGGAGAUUCAAAGAGAAUUUGUUUCCAGAAUUUAAGCCCGCGGAUACCCACCACAUCUUCUCGGAGUCUUCAUAACAAAUGGCAAAACUAAUGUUUCUACUCUAAAUAAACCUGAUUUACAGCCAAAUCACAACGUCAUCAAUCCAAACGCACCCUAAGCGGAUAAGUUCCUAACAAAACCUGUCUUUUGCUAGUCCAUAUGCUCAGUUUUAAAGACUAAGCUAUUUAGGCGAAAGAUUAGGAGCGAAAUUGCAAUACAUAAAAAAGAAAGCCCAGGGACUAGCUCUGCAUUUGACCCUGCAAGUUUAGAUUGAAUUGGAGGAAAUGUAAACCUUAUAAACAGAACCAAAUCCGCCUUGGCCAAGCUUGUUGAUUAGAUUGAAGUUAUCUGUUGCUUUUCUCAGAUCUUCAUAUUUGAAACUAAGGUGAGACGCCGAAAUUCUUCGAAUUAUAUGUCGCGAACCGUCGGUAUCUGCAAUCGGAAUGAAAGUGAACAAUUAGUGUAUCAAAAAUUUAAAAUCAUCGGCAUUUUACCUUCCAAAUUUUUCUGAUUUCUAUUUGAUUACCAUCUGUUAAAUUUGUUCCGGAGUUUAUCUUGAUCCAUAUUACAAUGACAAGCAAUGCUGCCACUGCAGCAGAAAUUAAUGUUAGAGCAAUGAUUAGUCGCGUCCGACCUACGACAAAGAAGAACAAAAGAACUGCAUCAUUAAUUUCCAUCCGAAAUAUAAAAAUUUUAGCUCAUUGAUGAGUGUUAGAAAGUCGCUAAGGGAAGUGUUAAUUACAAAUUACAUUGAAAGAUUCACUCAGAUAGGUAAUGAUGCACUAGUUACUAAUUGGGAAUUGAUUUUGUCAUAGCAUUUUUUCACUAUUCGCAGUUAUAAAAAAAAUAAAUAAAUAAAUAAAUCUAAAUCAUGGAUAGAUGUAAUACAUCUCUCCUGUGAAUAUCGAAACCAGCUCUGAAAAUAUCAAUUCCAUUGUAAUUUUAGUCACAUAAGAUUUGAUGUCAAUUUCAAGUAAAUCCUCAUAUUUUCUUUUUUUUAUUGAAACCCCCAUUAACUUGAGAUUUUGUUUUGUUUUUUUUUUUUUAAUCUCCUCUACCUCCACCAGGAAAAGCAACAAACAGAUUAAAGAAGCACCCUCACAAAAAAAAAAAAAAAAAAAAAAAAAAAAAAAAAANAUCGGCUAAGAAGGAAUCAGCAAGACUAGCCUGCAUAUAGAAAAUUUAUAAUAGAUAAGCCAUACCAAGAACAUAUACCCACAGGGAAAAUUUGAAAUGUUAACAUCAUAUAUAAGAAACUAUAAGAAACAAAUUCCGCGCAAUUUAUGAUACGAGAAGGUCUAAUAAUUAAGCACUAACUCCAUCAGUAUUCGGAGCCUCUAAUCGGCCAUCUCUGACUCAUUUAACAAAUAAGCAGUUAUCCUAUAUACCCAAACUGCAUUACCGAGCUAACAAAAACAAUUCCUCGACUACUGUAGCACAAUCUCUCGCUAUAAGCUCGACGCUUGUAUUUUCAGUACCAAAUCGCAUGGAAGAGCAAAUAACAAAAUAUGAGGUUACUACAAGAAAUUUGAUCUUUUAUCCUCAAAAAAAGUAAUUGGUCACAAGAACAUACAACUGAAGCCAUUAAUUAGCUUAAUUUGAGGGAUUAAGCGCGAAAUAAUUAGAAAAAAAAAAAAAAAAAAAAAAAAAGUAAAACAGUACAAAACUUAUCUUAACUACGGACCAUUUUGAUUUGAUUACACAAUCUUUCAAAAUUUUAAUUUUUACUGUCCAAUCUUUCAAUUUGUUUAAUUUGAGUCAAUCAACGAUAUUUUGGCUUCAAAUUUUGAACACAUCAUUCAUCUAUAAAGGUCUAAUUAGCAUACUUUGAAUUCGUAUAAUUCUCGCAACUAUAAUGUAAUUAGUUUAAAUUAAUAAAAAUUUUUAAAAGUUUGGAUAGCCAGUUAAAAAUGGUCCAUAGUUCAUGCAGGUUUUGUACAUUUUUUUUCGUCACAAAAAUUAUAUGCCCGUAGGGAUGUAAUUUCCAACAAAUUAAGGGAUCAAUCAGCAAAAAAAAAAAAAAAAAAAAAAAGUUACUUUUGAUAUUUUACGGUCAACGAGCAGUUUUUCUUUUAUAAUUUUUUAAAAAUAUUCUUAGACAAUUUCAUUUUGUUUCAUACCUGCUUGAUAAUAGUUUUCAGUGGUUACGGCCGCUGUUGUGAGGUUCCCGACGAGCCGUGCCGCUGCGUCGCGGAACGCCGCCGCCUCCUCGGCGUCCACCGAGGCGUUCCCGCAGACCGCAGCGUCCGCGGCAUCGACCGCGUCGCCGGUGACGUUCCGUCCGGCGUACCGGCCGAAGCAGCCGUCGAGGUAUACGCGCGAGUCGUCGGCGGGGAGGCACCGGGGGAUGUCGAGCCGAAUCUCCGCGUAGCACAGCUGGCAGGCUGUCGGCGACACGUAGGCGAAGCACUCGCUGACGGCGUACACCGCAUUGGCGGCGCUGGCCCCCGCGACGGUGGUGCCGUAGCCGGAGGCGGAGAUGUUUUGGUGGAGGGUCUCCAUCGCCGUGGCGAAGUUGAUGUCGAACGCUGUCGGGUCGGGGGUCGGGGCCGGGCCGCAGACGGUGAGGAUCACCGCCGGGGAGUAGGCGUCGUCGUCGGCGACGGCCGCGGUGGCGGCGGCAGUGGGGAGGAGGAGGAGGAAUAGGAAGAGUGAGGAUGGUUUCAUGAAGAGAGAUGUUGGAUUCAAUUUGGUGCUGUGAUUUUGUUAAUGAUGAUGGUAAUAAUUGGGGUUAUGAAUUUGAUGAUGAUGCUGCAUCUUUGUAGAGAGAGGUUUGAAGUUUGAACAGGCUUUUUAUAUGGUUUUGGAUAGAAAUUUAUAAGAGUAAACGCCUUCAGCUAUAAGCAAUUUUUUAAAGAAAAAUAUUAAAAUAUUUUAUUCUAAAUCGAUGAUUCACAUCGUUAAACACAAUAUACCCUAAUAAUUUUUGUAAUCAGUAUAAUUCAUAAGAAGAAUAUAGAAGUUUACUAGAUACAAAUAGUUCGUGUGAUAAUAAAAAUAUGUUAGCAAAAUUUGUCAUCUUCGGAUCGUUGGCUAAUCAUUAAUCCUAAAACUUUAAGCUGUUAGAAAUAUACAAUCAAUUCACUUAAAUCAUAUACACACAGCACCUACGACCUAUCUAGUCUUCCGCCACAUAGGCAUAAAUUUGCAGUAUGUGAAAACUGAACACGUGAUCUUUGACUCUGAUAUUAUUUGUCUGAUCGUUGGCACUAACUAUUAAUUUCAAAAGUGCAGUGGUAAGAAAUAUGCAAUUAAUUUACUUAAAAUAUACAUAUACGAUGCCUGCAGAUUUCGAUUGUGGCUUGGUUUGAUCAGAUUCAUGCCACUUUGAAUAUAACUCAGUUCAAUACUCAUGCCAUUUUAAAUAUAACUCAGUCCAAUCCGUCCUUACGCCAUUUUGAAACGAAACUCGGUACAACCUGAUCUCCGACAUAUAGUAGGAUGCUGGCCUUCUAAGGCCAUCACCCGUUCCCACAUAAUAGUGGGUCAAGAUGUAUGGUAGGUACUAAACUUCUAGAUGAUGAGUACAUCAAAUGCUGACGUGUACAGUUCUCAUUGGCCCACCUGUAGCUAGGUUGCAUGGUAUGGCCAUAAAAUGUUGACCAUACAGAUCAUUCUUCAUAUAUAUAUAUAUUGAUUUUAUUAGGUUGACUAAAAAUGAAACUAGGCUCCGGUCUAAAUGGAUUAUAAUAUUUUAAUUAAUGGCCAUAGAUUCGAAAGGUUGAAUGGUAGCUAAUUGAACAAGCAAAGUAAACUUUGGAUAAAAAUUUACAAAUUCACUAGUUAUCAUAUAUGUAACGAUUUAGCCGAUUAGCAGUAAUAACAUGUUGGAAUCUAAAUCAUCAGCUCGAAAUAUUUAAAUUCAGUUACUUGUUAUUUGUAUUAAGAUCCCUUAUCCUCAUAUUCUUAUUCACAAUCCAUUUUUUCAAUCGAUCUAUAACUAUCGGGGACCCUAACGUUCCUUGUCAAGUCAUAUUGCCUAGUCCAAAAUCACCAGCGAUCUAAGUUCCCAUCAAUCUCACAUUUCUAGAUAACAAGCCGACUUUAAUACUAAAUGUGAAGAUCCAACUCACUGGUACAAAUAAUUUAUUAAACUUUAAACAAUCGGCCCAAAAUAUUUAAGUUCAGUUGUAAAUCUCUGAUCUUUAUAUUUUUAUUCACAAUUCCGUUUUCAUGUAAUGAGCGACUAUUGGUCACGCCAUAAUAUAAAAGGUUGUUUAGUUAUACGUAGUUAAUUGCUUACAUAUAUAUUCAAAAGUAAUAUUUCGUUUGAUGCAUUCGAAUCCCACUUGUAGGGGUGGAAACGAGCCGAGCUCGAGCAAGCUUAUGUCAGCUCAAAUUCGGCUUGAAAUUAAUUUCGAGCCUAAAUCUAGGCUCAAGCUCGGCUUGAAAUUAAUUCGAGCNGAUUUCUAUUUGAUUACCAUCUGUUAAAUUUGUUCUGGAGUUUAUCUUGAUCCAUAUUACAGUGACAAGCAAUGCUGCCACUGCAGCAGAAGUUAAUGUUAGAGCAAUGAUUAGUCGCGUCCGACCUACGACAAAGAAGAACAAAAGAACUGCAUCAUUAAUUUCCAUCCGAAAUAUAAAAAUUUUAGCUCAUUGAUGAGUGUUAGAAAGUCGCUAAGGGAAGUGUUAAUUACAAAUUACAUUGAAAGAUUUACUCAGAUAGAUAAUGAUGUACUAGUUACUAAUUGGGAAUUGAUUUUGUCAGAGCAUUUUUUCACUAUUCGCAUUAAAAAAAAAAAAAAUCUAAAUCAUGGAUAGAUAUAAUACAUCUCUCCUGUGAAUAUCGAAACCAGCUCUAAAAAUAUCAAUUCCAUUGUAAUUUUAGUCACAUGAGAUAGCAAGUUAUCCACUCCAUUCAUUUUUUUCAGAAAUAAACUCAGCUAGAAAUAUAAAGCAAUUAGGCUUUGAAAACGAUAAUUUUUUUAAUAUGUUUGGACUCGAGAGUUUUAAAUGGGAAAAAAUUAAAUAAGACUAGAAGAUCAAAGAACUCGAACUUAGAAGUUCCUGUCCUGAUAAAAGCUUAAUUUAUCAGACAAUAGUGUUAAAUUCAAUUUUCUUUUUAUUGAAACGCCCAGUAACUUGAGAUUUUGUUUGUUUUUUUUUAUUUUUUUAUUUUUUAAAUCUCCUCUACCUCCACCAGGAAAGCAACAAACAAAUUAAAGAAGCACCCUCACAAAAAAAAAAAAAAAGUAAAACAGUACAAAACUUAUCUUAACUACGGACCAUUUUGAUUUGAUUAUACAAUUUUUCAAAAUUUUAAUUUUUACUAUCGAAUCUUUCAAUUUGUUUAAUUUGAGUCAAUCAAUGAUAUUUUGGCUUCAAAUUUUGAACAAACCGUUCAUCUUUAAAGGUCUAAUUAGCAUACUUUGAAGAGAAAUGAUUCGGUACUUUUUUUAAAAAAAAAUAAAAAAGAUCUUAACCGUUGAUUAAUAGAGGGUAAAAAUGUAACUUUAAUACUUAGCAGGUAAAAAGAUUAUUUUAUUCAAGGUUAAUUUGGUAAUUAAAUAAUACAAUAUUUAAAGAAAUUUUUAAUUGAGGUCCUAAAUUUAUGCAUUAAUUAGUACUAAUUUAGGAAAUUAAUUGAUUAACCAAAUUUAUGAAAUUAUUAGGCAUUAAUAUAGGAAUCUACUUUAAAUGUUUUAGUGUUUCUCAAAUUAUGCUUUAAUUUAAAUUAUAGAAAUUUUAGAAAUAUUUUUAUUUCUAAAUACGAUGAAUUUAAAUUUUAAAAAUUGAAUACUUAAAAUUUAAAAGUGAAAUUUAAAUUAGAGGAAUUUCAUAUUACUAUUUAAAGUUUAAAUUCAAUGAUCAUAUUGUUAAAUCAUUUGAAAUUUUCCUUAUAUGACAUGCCAAAUUAUGAAAAGAAAGAUAGAGAGAGAAAAAGGAAACAAAGAAAAAACAAAAAUUUUGAAAAUAUAGUAGAUAUAAAAUGACAAAUUGUCCAUAUAUUAAAAGACAAAAAUAUCCUUUUUUGAGGUACCUGAUAAUCGGUAUCUCUCCCAAAGUGACCUACUAUUGUAGGUCACAAUUUUAAAAAAACUAAAUCUGAGCCGUUGAAUACGCGUGAAUGAACAAUAACCAAAAAAAAAAAGUAUAGAAGCAUUACUCAUAAAAUAAUAAUAUGGCAUAUCAUUAUAACAUUAUUAUUAUCAUUAUCAUCAUAUUUAAACCACAAUACUGUCACAUCAUUGUAGUAUUCGACACAUCACCAUCUGGUUCAAUUAUUUAGACUGAAUGAGUUGAUUGCAACAAUCUAAAAAAUUAAGACAAAAAAAUAUGAUAAAUUAAAAUUUGAGAAUUAAAAUAUUACGCUCAUGGGUAGGGGUGUAAACGAGUUUGAGGAAUAAAAGUGUAAUUUA